GAAAGGGGAGACCUAGAGAGCUAAUAGAUUUCACCGCAUAUGUGGUUUCAGAAAUCUAGUUUGUGGAUGUAUGCCACUGUGUUUUUUUUAGUAUGCAUUUAAAUGAAUGAGUUUUGCAUCGUUUAGUUGUCAUUUGUAUAGGUUUUCUGCUUUGUCAAUCUACUUAUUGAUGUUGCCUGUCAGAUUAAAGGUUUCCAUACUUUAAAAUUCUAAAUUUGUAUAACCUUCUUUUCAUUCUUUUUAUAGAUAUCAAUGGCUUUCUACAACAAACUUGGUGGUCUUUUGAGGCAGAGCAUCUCAACAAGUGGCAAUACAUUAAACGCACAAUCAUCAGCACCUUCAAUGCUUAAUGCCAUCCGUUGCAUGUCAACAAAGCUUUUUGUUGGAGGUAUGUGAGUAGCAGUCUGAAAAAAAUAUCACAAGUAUUGUUUCUUAGUGAAUACCCUGCGACAGUUUGCUUAUUUAUUCCUCAAUUUAAUAGGUCUUUCAUUUGGAACUGACGAUCAGUCUCUGAGGGAAGCCUUCACCAGUUUUGGUGUUGUCGUCGAGGGUAAUCUCCCAACUAUCCCGAGUCUGGCUUGCUUUAGUUUCCAUCUUGUUUUUAUUCUCCGAUUAUGAGUAUUUGAAUGAACAACACAACGAAAAUCAAGUUAGAUGAAAAUGCUAUCUUUUAUGAAGGAUCAUACACAGUACAAUAUGUAUCUGAUAAUAGCUUCCGAUGUAUAUAUAAUUUAAACCUAUACAUGGCAUGGUGGAUGCAUAAAUUUGUCUGUUGUCUUGUGUUCCUCUUGCUUACUAGGCUAUGAAACUUGAUAGAUUUUCUGCAGCUCGUGAUUUGUUUCAUGACCUUAAGUGUUCAUAUAGUGAGUGCUCCACGCGUUUUUGUCAUAAAUUGCAUACUCUAGUGAUUGGGCUGGGAUAUUGGCAUUUUUCUGAUGGUUUCUAAGUUUGUUCUAUCGUUAAGGCAUUAUCAGCUACUAUCUUCAUCUCCCUCGUUUAGUUUGUGGGUGCUAGGAUUAGUUUAACAUCGGAGUUGAACCAAUACUUAUGGUUUUUUUGACAUGGUCCUCCCUUUCAUCUCGCUUGCUAGCUCUUACUUUCUGCUGUUUGAACUUUGUUCGUGUGUUAAAUAUUCGUGUACUUUGAUUGUGGCACAGCUAAGGUCAUCAUGGAUAGAGAUUCUGGGAAAUCAAAGGGAUUUGGAUUCGUGAACUUCACAGAAGGUCAAUCUGCCCAAGAUGCUAUGUCAGCAAUGGAUGGACAGGUAAAAUUUUGUUAGUAAUACAUGAAACCUUUAGUUUAUGCCUUUGUAUAGUUUAAGGGACUAUUUGGUUACAAUGAUUUGGAUUAAAUUUUGUACCAUAUUCGGUUGUGGAUAUUAGUUGAAACUCAACGACAUAGUGUAGUUUUACAAAGUGGGGUCCGGGAAGGAUAGAACGUAUGCCUCUCAGAAGUAAAGAGGCUGGUUAUUCAUGAAUCAUGGCUGAUAUCACAUUAUGCUCCCUGUAGGAUCUCAACGGGAGGAACAUCCGCGUCUCUCUAGCCCAAGAGAGAGCCCCACGCAGUGGUGGCUUUCGUUCUGGUGGUGGCGGAUUUGGCGGUGGCUAUGGUGGAUCUAGACAAAAUGAUGCAUACUAAGUAAAACUUGUAAUCUUUGCUCACUUGUCUAUACAAGCAUAGCAAAUUUCGUAGGUAGGAGAUGGAACGUAACGCGAUUUUGUGUUGAACGAAUUUUCCUUAGCUUUUAAUGUAUGCUUCUAUAUUAAGGUUUUAUCAUAUGAUCACUUGACUUCCCUAACUUUGGUCCAAGUGGGCAAGUCGAUUUUAAUUAGUCGAGUUUUUAUGUGCUAAAGUUCAAAUAAAAAAUGAUUGAACUUCAGUCAUAUGUACCCGUCAGCUAUGUGCAGUGACUUCGUUAAAGAUUAACUUCAGACACUGUAUAUCUGAAAUUAUGUAAGCAACACAAAUUAAAUGACGACGUCAAAAUUGGAUAUCCAUGUGCUUUGCCGUUGAGUGUGUAAUUAUACGAUUGGAAAAAAUAAUUUGGGCUAAGACUAAUUGAUUUGUUCUCUAAAGUCCAGGAAACAAAUCUUAAGCCCAAGGUAUAAAGAAACGAUGCACAUGUUAGAUUAAUUUUGAAUUAAGAAUGUGUUUGAUACGAAAGAAAAACAUUUCUAAGAAAAUAAGUGAGUUUUUUAUUUAUGUAUUGUCGUUAGUAUGUAAAUAAAAACUAUAAUUACAAAUAUUUGUAUAUAAAUUAGAUAAAUAUUGUGGGAUGUAGUUGAGAAUCGAGAUAAGGGAAGGGGUGAUAGAGUGGUGAUGAUGGAGGCUAUAUCUAUAGAGAGGUAGGUAAAGACGAGGUAUGAUGUAUAAUGCGAUAUAAAAUGACAACUUAUUUUUUCUACUUCCAUUAAAUAUGUCCGUUUUAUAUUCUUAGCGAAGUUAUUUUCCUAAAAAAAAAGUCUUUUUUUCAUACUUUAUGUGUAGCACCAAUUAUUCACUUUAAUUGCUUUUCUAAAGUCUAAAUUUCAAUUGACAUGAAAUCAUAGUCCUUAAUUAAUAUGUAUUUAAUAUAAUAAUAAGAAUGUUGUCCCACUACUUACACACAAAAUUUUAGAGUGAAGUCUUUUCAAUGUUUAAUAAUCUUAUUGCUAAUUGUUUUCUUGUGCAACAAAUUAAGCCUUGCCGACACUUUUAUUUUCUUUAAUGUCCUUUUCAUGAUUGAGUUAUUAACAUGUGCCUAUGGUCCAAAUAAAUUGAUAUUUACAAAUCAAUUAAGAGUGUGACACUUACUUGAAUCAAGGGGCUCAUCAAAAAUACUUUUUAUAUAUAAAAUUAUAACAGAUUAAAUAUGUUAUUAUCGUUGUUAUAAUUAAAAGUGUGAUAUCACUAAUUACAAAACUAAGUUAUUGUCUAUGCGAAACAAGCUCGAAGAGUAUAGUAUUAAGAAAAUAGGAUUAGAGGAACUAAUGAAGAAAUCUUGAGGUAGAGAGACUUUAGGGUUAAUUAGGGGUGCAAAUAUUAAGUUUUAUAGCAACUUACAAUAUUGCGUGAAAAUGAAGAUUUCUUAUAGAAAAAAAAUAUAAUAUUGAAAUUAAAUUUAUAAAAUACGAGUACUAAACCAAUUGACCCGUUGGAAUUUCAACUUUUAUGAAUAAAAAUAUCAUGAUUAAUCUGACGUUGAAUUUAUACCAGUCUUGUUAUAGAUAGAUAAGCAAAAUUUUAUGAUUGUGUUAUGAAGUUCAACCUUAAAUUAUUUACUUUAAACUUACAAAAGUAAUCUUAAAUUUCAUGAAAAAUUGAGAUAAUAGUCAAAUGCUUUCCAAAUCUAUUAUCAAAUACAUAUUUAAUUAUUUAUAUUUUACGGGGUUCUAUUACCCUUCGAUUAUUCUUGCAAUAUUUUCUAAUUAAAUCCUUAUGUAUAUUGUGAUUUGUGAACGCGUUCGUUGUUGACCAAAAGCUAAAAAUACUUGUUCUUGGUAAGUUAUUUUAGGUUACAAUUAAACCUAUAGUUUUGUGAGUAACUUCAUAAUUAAAUCAAAUAACAAAGUAUCAUGUUGUUGCAAGCAUUUUGGAUCUUGUCCAACAAUUUUUAUGUUCAGAAAAGUACGUAUAUGUAAAUAAAACUUAUAAAAAAAAUCUUUAACUUCAUUUAACGUCAGAAUAUUAUACGAACAAUUAGCUAGCUAGGAGUUAUUUAGCAACAAAAUUAGCUACAAAUUAUUAAUAAAUUUCACAAUUAAUUCUAUAUUUUCUAGCAGCGUAGAGUUCUAGCUACAUAUUCAACCGAAAUCAUUAGUCCUAAUCAAAAUCUUGUAUUAUUAAGAUAUUUAUUGAAUAUGAAUAAAUAUUUUAUAUAGAACUGAAUAUACUAUCUUUUUUUUAAAAUGAAAAAUUAUAAAUUCAAAAUUUGGAUCGGUCUUUGAAGUUAGUAUAUAUAUAUGGACCCUUAAUUAAACAAAAUUCCAAUAUAUUUUUUAAGAAAUAAUUAAAAAGCAUGUUUCAUUGUCAGCAAUCUAGAUCUAGCAAUCAAUUUUCUUCAAUUUUGUGUUACUUUCAAAGACUCAACUAAUUAUUUUUACUCCACCAUUCACGGUAGGCCAAGAAAAAAUUGUAAGUUCUAGAUUAUUUGUCUUAAAAUAUUAUACUAUAUGAUUUUUUUAAAAAAAAAUAAUAUUCUGCAUGUAUAUAUAUAAACAUGUUGGAGAAAAAAGGAAGCGUGUUAAUAUGCUAUAUGUAUAGAUUUGGCCUUAGGGUAUGUGAAUAUAAGUGUUGAGACUGAUAUAUAUAAAUAAUAUUACAAUAAUAAUUGAGUUUAACACAAAUAUAUAUGUAUAGAUAUCUGGAUAUUAAUUUCUUCCUAUACAUGUAUAUGAUAUAAUCAAUAUUAUAUCAGUAAAGAACAUAUUAAUAUAUAAUUUUAUUUAUUUUUAAUUUAAGAUUAAAUCGUUCAAAAGACUUUUUUUUUUAAAAAUUUCGUGCUAGAUUAAAAUCAAAUAAACGAAAUAUCAAAUACUUCACUAAUAAAUAUUUAGUCCAAAUAAAUUUGUAAAAACCGGUGGGAGUGUGGGGUAAGCAGACAAAAAAUAUAUUCUUAGUUCUUUAUCUAGCUGGACCAUUUUCUUUUUAUUAAUUUCUUGUUGCUAUUUUUAUUUUUCUCUUUAAAAAAGAAAAUUAUGCGUUUAAUUAUGCUUAGAUUUUUCUUGUCGAAUCGAUUUUAAUUAUGAGUUGUGUGUCGGUACCUAAAUUAUAUUUCGUCAAAUCACAAGGUGUAAUGUGUAGACUUUUUAAGAAUAUGUCCGAGUCAAAUAGCAAAUUAAAUUAGGAACAAAUAUAGAAAAUUAAGAUUUAUAUUUUACUUUUUAAUAAAUAAUAUUUCCUCUGUUUCAUUUAUGUAGGGGUGUGCAUCGAUCGGUUCGGUUCGGUUUUACAUAUAAUCGGUUCGGUUUAUCGGUUUUUGGUUUUAAAAUAUGCUAACCCAAUAACAAAUCAAUAAGAAUUUUUUUAUCGGUUUAUCGGUUUUUGAUGUUAUCGGUUCGAUUUCGGUUAACUCAAUAAGAAAAUGUUGAUCAAAUAAUAUAUAAUAGUACGUAUGUUAUAAUUACAUGUUACCAACUUACCGACAAAACAUAAUAGAAAACAUUGAAUGUUGAUCAAAUUACUAACGUUCACAAACUUGCAAAAGCUAUUUCCUACAAUUACGAACUAGAAUUAAACUAAAAUAAAAUAUUUCAAUGAGACAAUCUUGAACAGAUGUUUGAUCCACCAGAUAAUCAACAAAGUUCUCACCAAUUUCCUAAUCAAAAAAUCACAUAGCCUGAAAAGCUAAUAUUAAAUCUAUUUAUGUAAUAAAUUAUGUAUAUUUAAUAUUGAGGAAGGGUAAAGUAGUAAAUAACUAUCGUCUUAUUGGGUUAUCGAUUUACCCAAUAACCCAAUAGGAAAAACCGAAACCGACCCAAUAACCCAAUAAUUAUUUUUUCUAAACCCAUUAAAAAUCCAAUAACUUCAAUAACAAUAACCCAAUAACAUUUUAUCGGUUCGGUUUAUUGGUCGGUUCGGUUUUUGCACACCCCUACAUUUAUGGGACAGUUCAAAUAAGUCUAUUUUUAGUAGUAAACUUUUAUAUAUCUUUGAAAUAUUUUAAAUUGUCAAUUAUUAUUAUUUAUAGUACUUUUACAUAGUUUAUAAAUAUAUAAAUUCCAUUUCAGAAAAUUCGAAGAAUAUAUGUGUAAAUUCGCCGUCAAACUUAAAUUGUUUACCUCGAAAAAUAAAUUAUGUUACCUAAAUUAAAAUAAUUAAGAAAAUAUUAAGAAUGGCAAAUGAACAAAUUAAACUUGAAAGGAUCAAAUUAGGCUGAGUUAAUAAGCCAACAUGUAUUAUAUGGUCCACAAAUAUGAUGAAAUAUAUGAAGGAAUCCACUUUAAGAAAAAAUGACAUUACCUUUUGAUUUGUAAAGGGCUUCAUAUACUGGCAAAUGUUUUUGAAAAAGCAGUAACAGAUAAGAACUGAAAAUAGUGAGUAUAUGUCAGCAUAGUAAAAAGGCAAAUAAAAAACAGAAAAAAAAAACUAAACACAAAAAUGAAAAAUAUAUUAGUAUUUGUUCUUGAAUUGUUAUCCGAUAUUUAUAUUAAAAUUUAAUUAAAUUUAAAUUUAUUUUGAAAAAUCUUAUAUUUAGGAAUAACGAUAUGUUAAUCAAUCAAAAAUAAAAAAAUAUUUAUCACUCUAUUACGACCAUAAAUAAUUAUUACACACAUAUUUUCUGUCAGUUUUUUAGUUCUAUGAUUGGGUAAAACAGCCUUUGAAAGGAUUCAUUUUGUACUUUCAGAUUUGCUGUCUGAGGUUGGCCGAUAGUAAUUUUUAGCCGUCCAUAGAAAAUUAUAUUGUUUAUAUAUAAUUAUUAAAUAAUAUUUUUUAAAUUUAAGUAAAUAUAGUAAAUAUCAAAGUCUCUUUAGCUUCUUUGUAUUUAUAUUUUUUAAUAUUUUUUAUUUUUCUAUUAAAAAUUCUGACUCCAUCGCUAUAAUUACGAUUGAGAAAAAGAAAAAAAUUGGAAACUAAGAUAGCUUCACAUGUACAUAUAGCAAAAAAGAGGUUGUUGAGAUAGCGAAACCAAAUUUCUAUCUUAAAAGUACAAAAGACCCUUUUUCUUAAUUGAUUAUAACUUCAAAAUAUACAUAUUUUGAAUGUUAAAUUUACUAUUCAUGGAAUAUAUGUUCUUCAUAUUUUAUAAGUUGAAGUGGUUAUAUUUCCUUUUUAUUAGUCCAUCUAGAUUAGAAAAAUAUAUAUAUAGGAAAGGGAAAAAAACAUAUUACAAAUCAAAGAACUAAGUAAAAGUAUAUAUAUUUCUACAUGUAUAUACACAAGAAUAACAUACUCAAAAUCAUCUUAUAACUAGAGUUCGAAGAAGAUGACAUCUAUCGGACCUUAGCUUAUCCCUACUUUAUAUAACAGAGAAAUUAUUUUUGAUUAUCGAUAGAUCACUUUUUAGAUACGUAUAAAAUAGAAAUGUAUAAAACUUAUCUUCUAGAAAUAUACGAACAUAUUUUUUUAGCAUAAAAAUAAUGGUUAGAGUUUUAUACUUUAGUUGUACAAGACAAAGAGUAGAAAUAAAUAAGAAAAAGACACAUGAUGCAUGAUUCAUGAGUGGCCUAUUAAAAUAGUUUAAGUUAUUAAGUAGUACUUAUUUAACGUAUUCUUAAAGUUGUAUAUAUCUUUCCCUUUAAUCAUGUGUUAAGUUACCUUUUUACUAUUUAUUAUGUGAAGCUUAUGAUUAUACAUCACUUUUUUCUGUCUAAAUAUUAAUACUUUUGAGAACCAUUAUUUUACAUACAUAUAAAAAAAAAAUUAUGUCGGACAGCCGCAUUAUGAAUUUUACAAACAUUUUAAUUUUUCUUCAAAGUGUAAUACAAUAAAUAAAUAAAUAUAUAUAUAUAUAUAUAUGAAGUUUUACAAGUAUCGAUAGCAAAAGUUUAAGAGGAGAAAUGUUAUAAGUUAUUAAAAAUCUUAGAAAAAGAUGAAGGUAAUUCUGAUUAUAUAUGUUGAUAAUUCUCUCAACUACUUGCAAUGAGUCAAAUAAUUACGUUUAAUUCCUAUUCGAUAUUAAGUAUCUAUGUUAAGAUUUAUUUAAAUUUGGGUUUUAGUAGGAAAAAUUUCAUAUGGAAUAUGAUUAUGUUAAUGUAUUUUUUUAAUAAAGACAAAUCUAAAUUGAGAUUCGAAAUAUAUAUUUUUUUUAAAAAAAAUCUUUAUUACCGACAUAUAUAUAUAUAUAGCUUAUAUCAAAUUAAACAAGAUAAAAGACAUAAGAUUAAUCUUGAUGGAAUCAUCAUUGUUGUUCCAAAAUAUUACAAUUUAUGAUUUGAUUUUUUUUUUCCUUAAAUCCUACAUCCAAUAAUACCUUAAAAGUACAUUAUUAUAAACCCCACUUUUCAUAGAUCUACACUUGCCAUUUCCACCCUCCUCUAAUUUUCUUAUUUUUUUUAUAAAUAUAAAAUUCUAUUCCUAUACUAAAAAUAAACAAGUAAACAUAAUUUUGAUCCAAAUAUUACAUCAUAAAAAACAAAAAAAAUGAAAAUAAAAGGUAAAAUAGACUUUUUCACUUUUCCCCUUCACUUUCCUUUUUUACCCUUGAUUGAAUUCCAUAAUAACUAACAUACCACUUCACAAAUUUCCUUAACCCACUUGACAAAUCAGUUGUUGGCUUAUAUCCAAAAUCCCUCAACGCCAGGCUCACGUUAGCAUGUGUAAACGGAACGUCGCCGUUUCGUGGCAUUUUAAUAAAAAAUUUUUUAGCCUUAAGAUUUAAUAAAUUUUCGAGAAUUGCCACCAACUUCUUCACCGACACUGGUGAAGUAUUCCCCAAAUUGUAAACCCUCAAUUGCGCCGGACCUCUCUUCUUUCCGCCGCUCCCGGUGCUCUUCUCCGCCGUAUCCAACGCGCCGACGCAUCCUUUUACUAUAUCAUCAAUGUACGUGAAGUCACGCGCCACCUCUUUAUCAUCCUGAGUGACGUACACGUUAAUCGAUUUCCCCUGAAUCAUAUCCUUUGUGAAGAAGAAAUACGCCAUGUCUGGUCUUCCCCAAGGUCCGUAAACAGUGAAAAACCUCAAACCUGUUAAUGAAAGCCCGUAGAUAUGGUUAUAUGUAUGUGCAAUUGCUUCCCCUGCUUUCUUCGUUGCAGCGUAUAAACUAGCUGGUUGAUCUGUUCUGUGAUCUUCGGAGAAUGGAACUUUGGUGUUCAAUCCAUAAACAGAGCUCGAUGAAGCCCAGACUAUCGCUGGUUGUGGAUCUGCAGCUUUAGCUAUUUCUAACAGAUUUACAAACCCAGCAACGUUUGAGUUUACAUAAGAGAGAGGAUUCUGCAUCGCGUAACGAACACCUGCUUGUGCAGCUAGAUGAAGGAUAUGAGUAAAAGGAACAAUGUCGAAAAGCUUUUUCAGAAGCUCUGUAUCGUUAAUAUCACCUUCUACAAUGAAAAUCUGAUGCUUCGAUAACUGAUCUUGACGAGCACGUUUCAACGAAGGAUCGUAGUAUGAAUUGAAAUUAUCUAAACCUAAAACACCAUCACCACGCUUCUUCAAUGCUAAAGAGCAAUGAGAACCAACGAACCCAGCUGCUCCCGUCACGAGGACGGAUAGCCCGUUAGGGCGGUGGGGUGUCGAGGAGUGACGAACUUGUUUCUCCCACGACGCCCCACCGCCGUAAAUCGCGGAGGAUAGAAGGUUAUGGGUAGUGGUGUGAAUAUUAUUGUUGAAUGAUUUUUCGGAAGUUAACGGAGGGUAAUUUAUAGUGAAGAAGAAAAUAAGUAAAAGAGCCACUAAUAAAGUGACACGAAAUAAAAGCUUAGACGAUGCAGCGAUGAGUUUUGUACUAUUAACUCUUCGAAUAUAGCUAUUGUAGCGCUCUAGUUUUGUGGUUUUGCUUGUGUCAGGUGGCGAUGCCAUUAUAGUUUUCAUAACUUUAUAUAUGUAUAUGAUAUAUCAAUUUGAUUUAUUUAUCGCUUUGAUAUUGCAGAGAGUAUACGAAAGAAAGGCUAAUGGUGUUAUUGGAAAAUGGGGAGUGCUUUGGAUUGAGCAAGCCCCUGAGGAAAGAAGAGAUGAUGUUUAUAAAGGAAGAAGGAUUGGUGUGUUUGUGUGAAAAAAGGAAAAAAAAAGAGUGGUGGACCAAAGAGAAGGAGAGUGGUAUUGAGUUGUAGUUGGUUGGAGGCCACUUUCUUUUUUUAGUAUUCUACAAUCUAUAUUUUUAAAAUUAAAAAAAAAAUAAAGUGGAAAAAAAUUAGGUGAAUUGGUUUAUGAAUGGUAUCUAUGACUAUUUGAUCUCCAUUCUCUAUAAUAUUUUGAUCCAAAAUUUGAUCUUUAAGUUUAUGUUUGACUUGAUGUAAGUUUGAAAAUUUUUUAUUAGUACUCUCCUUGUGUUUUUUUUUCCUCUUCUAUCUUUUUAUUACUUUGUGAUUAUAUCUCUUUCACUUAUAAAUUACACUUUCUUUAAGAACAAAAUGAAGCUAAUGUUAUUUCAAGGACAUUAACUUUACUAAGGGUAAAUGAGACUAAAAUAUUUAAUAAUUUCAUUUUAAUUUUAUGAAAUGAUAAAUAAAUUGCGACAAGUACUUCUAAUAGUCUUGACAGUUAAUAUGAAAUAAAGAAAGUAUAAUUGAUUUAAUGUUGGAGAAAUAAUUUGAAAUACUUUAAAUAUGAAUAACAUGAGUAAAAUAUACAUAAAAUGGUCAAUCAUCUCUUAAUUUUUUUAAUUUGAUAAAAAUGGGCAUAUUUAUAAUAUCACAAACAAAACGUGAUGAAAAAUAAAAACAAAUGAUUUGUAGAAAAUGCAUGAUACUUAGAUUUUACUCUUACUUUCGAGAGUUAGAAAGGCAUGUAGUAUAUUUUAAUGAAAUUUCGAAAUGCACAAACCAAAUAUCUUGGAUAGUACAUUGGAAUUUGGAUACUUAGCUAAGCACAUUUAAUGAAACAUAAGAUUACAUCUAGAAGUGGUGAAACAUAAGUAAUUUUAUAAUAUCAUUAUAAAAAUGGAUCAAGGAAAUAAUUAUAGAUUUUUGGUUAAGAAAUGACUAUUUGACUCUCACGUCUCGAGAGUGAAUAGUAAUUAGGUCAUACUCAGUAAAUAACAAUAACUUGGCAUUAAAAAAAAAAUUACAAGUAGCUAUAUAGAUAUAAAUAAUAAAAUACUACAUUAGUGAGUAAUUAGAAUUUGUUUUCUAGGAAUAAGCCAAAUUGGUCCUCCGACUUUUAGAUAUUUAUACAAUGGUCCUUGCAUUUAUGUUAGGGUUGAAAUGCCAGCUAAAAAUUGACUCAAAUUUGUAUAAAGAAUCUCAAAACCAUGUGAGACACACAUGAGGAAUUUAUUACAAGUGUAAACACUGAUCCUUGACUUACGUACUCUUAUUCAACAUUAUACAACUAACGAACGGAAUAUGGUGGAUUGAUAUAACUGAUUAACUUUUAAUUAGAGAUUAUAUCAAAUUUUGAGUUCUAAAUAUGAAAAGUAUCAUGUUGAGAACGAACGAACAUUACAAUAUGUGAUUCAUUUUCAUUAAAGUAUAAAACUCAAUCGUUAAAAAUAAAGCAUGAAAAGAGUAUGAUAUAACAAAUCUUAUUUUUAUGGAAAUAAAGAGAUUUUUCUAAUAAAUUUCGGUUCAAAAGAAUAGUUUACGAAGCAAGAUUUGCCAGAAUAUAUGAUAAGAUACAAGGCAAAUGAAAUAAGUAGUAAUAGAUAUAUUGAAGAAUAAGAGACUGUGAAAUAGUUUAUAAAAAAAUAAAAAAAAUGUUUAAGUUAAUUAGAAAUUACUAUUGUUGAUUUAAUUGAUCAUUUGUCUACAAAAAUAAUGACUUUAAAAAUGGAAUUGAAAAGUCAUUAUCCUCUUGUUUUACUUCAUUAUUAUUAUCAUUUUAUGUUGUUGCUUUCCUUUUUCCUUAUUUUAUCUUUUAGUAAUAAUUUUUUUAUAUUUAUUAGGAAUAUAAAGUGUACGACCGUUUGUGUGUCACCGACAAAAUAUUUUAAACUAGAAUAGGCAAUUCUAAUUAUUAAUGAUACACACCUAUUUAAUUAAUGAAGGGUUAUAAAUGGUUUAGAUCUAGGGUUAUAAUUUGGACAUAUUAAAAAAAAGUUCUAUUAUUUGUCAUAUUUUGUUAUGUUUUUGGAACUAUUAUUCUUAAUUGAAGUGCUAAUAGAGCCUGCACAGAAUAGCCAAUAAAUGUGUCAAAAUCGAUAAAUCGACUAUAUAUAUUUUAACGUGAAUCACAUAAAUUAUAUAGUAAGACAUACAUCAAUAUAUACAAACCAAAUUUAAUGUCACGAAAUAUUUUAUUUUAUGUUUUUUAUAUUUACAUUAUUUGUUGAUUUUGAAAUUUUGAGAAUUUAUUGAGAGACUGAACCUUUAGGUAUAGGCACAUUCAUCAUCACAGUGCACUGGGAAAUACAACGUGCAUGUGCAUGGGUAGUGAGUGACAACGUAGUUUACGUAACAAAUUCAUUGAACUAACUUUUAAUUCUAUGUAUAAUAAUAAUAUUACUAAAUAUAUUUUGCUGAUUUUACAAAAAUUGUCUUUUUAUAUCAAAGUUUCAUAUGGAACGGUUCGGCCAAAAUUGUCAAGGCACUUGGUCAAAGUUUAAAUCAUAUUAGGAAAAUAUUUAAGUAGCCUCUCAACCUAUGUCCGAAAUUCCAGAGACACACUUAUACUAUACUAAGGUUCUAUUACCCCUCUGAACUUAUUUUAUAUGUAAUUUCCUACCCCUUUUUAGCCUACGUGGCACUAGUUCGAAAAAAAAUCAACCAUCGUUGGGCCCACAAAAUAGUGUCACGUAAGCUAAAAAGGGGUAAAAAAAUAUUAAUAAAAUAAGUUAAGGGGUAAUAGGACCUUAGUAUAGUAUAAGUGUGUCUCUGAGAUUUCGGGCAUAGGUUGAGGAGUACUUGGGCAUUAUCCCAAUCAUAUGAACUAACACUAUAAGAGAUAUUGAUGAACAUGGUUUGUGAUCGAUUAAUCGAACGUUUCUUAUUAAUUAGGUAUUUUAGUCCCUUUUUAUUGUAAAUUUUCCGAUCAUACCAAUCGUAGUUUCAUUAUUCUCAUAGUUUCAUGUCACCAAAUAAUUUUGUUAUUAUCUAUUGUUUUUUUGUAUUUCGGCUAUAUAAUUACAUUAUUUUUUAUUGUCUUGUUUGAUCAAUGUCGUGUAAUUAUUUUCCCUAUUGUUUGUUAUAUAUAUAUAUAUAUGCUGUUUUUUUCGAAAUUAUUAUGAUAUAUGUUAUUUGAAUCGAGAGAUUAUCGAUAACAUCCUUAUGAGAUAACAGUAAAUUAAAAUAUAUCUAUUUACUCUAUACUUCACGAAUUUUAUUAUGAUAUUAUACUGAAUAUAAUAUUGUUAUUAUAUAGUUGAUUUUGAGCAUGAGAGACUGCCAAAUUAAAUGUCUCCAAGUAAGAAGUGGAACUCAUAACAAAAUUGCAUGUUACGUCGGUGUUGUUGACAUUAAAAUAAAUACUAUAUACCAAUUAGAGGAGAAAAGGCAAAUUAAAUGAAGGUUCACUUCAUACACACAUAUACAUCAACUUCACUUUUUAUCACAUGGAGGCAAAAAAUUAAUAGAACAUUGAAGAAGGAGUUGUGGGAAUAGAGAUGGGGACCCUAGGGGGGUGGGGGGUGGGGAAUAUGGGGAUUCAAGCCACUCAAAAUAUUAUAAAAAUUUAAAACAAAUUAAAAUUGUCAAAUAUACCUAAGUUGAGUUGUAAAGGUAUCAAAGAUACCUUGUUAAAAUGAAAAUCAUACGAAGAAUCAAGAUUUUUUCUUAAUAAUCGAAUACUUUUGUCAGUAAAUAAAUAUCGAUUAAUUGAGUUUGUAUCACAAAAAGAAGAGUGUAUUGUAGCAUAUAAAUAGCUUGUUCAUAUAUAAAUUCAAUAUUUUAUCGUUUAGAACUUUAUAAUUUUUUUUAAAAAUAAUUUAUUUUUUUAAUCUUGAAAAUUCAACUAACGUAUAUAGUUGAAAAUCUUGAAUUCUCUUUUAGGGGAAACACAAUUCUAGUUAAAGAUGGAGGAAUUUUAUCAUCCGAUCACAACUCUUAAUGGAAGCCCAUAAAUAUUUUAAUUUCACGAAUUAAGACAAUUAAUAUUUUACUAUUCAAUUUUUGCUUUUAUUAAUAAUGGAUUAUAUCUUAUCAAGAAAUUGAUUAAUACCUAUAUUAUACACUAUGCAAAAGACAAUUGAAAAAAUAAAAUUAUAAGCCAACAGUACUACAUUAAAGAUUUGAUCUAUCAUUUAUUGUGUUAAAUAAAUAAAUUGAAUAAUUAGAGUUAGGUCGACUUUAAUUUGAUGGGGCUAAGGUUGGCUCAAUAUUGGAAUAUAAAAGAUAUUAACUGUUUUGUUUUUAUAUUUUUGUACUUUUAGAAUUUCACUUAUUAUAUAUGGCCUUAUCUAACAAGUAUGUACUAUCCAAUAUGUACUAACUCUUAAUGUCAUUUUUAGCAUUUAACAUGAUUAUUUAUACGAUAGUGAUGGUCAAUAAGAUAAUUAUAAAUAAGAAAAAUAGUUUGAAGCAGAUUAAUGAUGUCUAGAUUAAUAUGUUGAUUUUACACAUAUAUGUAGUACAUGUAUCAUAAAUAAAUUAAUGUACCUUAGAAAUUCAUUGAAGUGACUUAUUCAAAUGGAAAUUAAUACAAAGAUGAUUAAUUUGAUAUGCUGUUUUUUUUUUCAUUUUCAAAAAUUUGAAUUUAAGAACCUAGAUAUAAUUGUGUCAUAUUUGAGUGAUUACAUGAAUGUUAGGUUCAAAAGAAAAAUCUGAUAAAUAGAGGAAUUGACUGAAAUCCAUCUUUAAGUUUUUUUAUUACCAUUAUUCCCUAUUAGUUUUAUAAAUUCCCAAAAUUUCUCAUCUUCGUGCAUCAAAGUAUGUAUCAAUGCAUCAGAUUAAUGUAUCUCGCGCAUCAGAUUAGUAUAUCAUGUAUAAAAUGUAAUGUAUCUUAUUUAACGAUUAAUGUAUCUCGCACAUCAGAUUAAUGUAUCAAUGCUUAUAUUAUUGUAUCAGUUUGAAAAUUUUUUGUAAUUAUAAAUAUAUAAGAUACAAAUAGUAAUUUUACUUUAAAAAUAUGUGAUUUCAAUCCUUGUUCUUUGAUAUUUUAUGAUAAUUUUUCUUUGAGGAACCAUAAGGUAAAAGUGGAGCUUUAUUCAUAUAUUAAAAAUAGUUAAAUGAAAUAAAAUAAUGAAAAAAAGGAACCAUAAUUUCCAUUUGCCUAGAAACAUAAUUUCGAUGAAUAGAAUUAUUUAAUAAAAUAGUUAAAAUGCGAACAAAUUAAUCAAUCAUUACCGAUCAAACACAAAGAAAGAAACACAAAUUCUGAUAAAUUUGAAAAAAAUAUAUAAAAUCAAUUGCAGAUUUUAUAUUUUAUUUUACCUUCCUAAUUUUAAAUGCUGAUCUUUAUUAUUACUCCUAGACCUUCUAAAUAACCUUAUCCAACUCAGGAUAUUUCAAAUGAUCAUGAUAUUGACAUAUUGAUGUCACUGGAUUUAUUUAUUUAUUGUUACUCACUUUUUAUUUUAUUUUUUUCCUAAAGUAAAAUUGAAAAAGUUAUUAAUUAAUUGAUGCCCAUUUCCUUGUCAAUCAUUGAAUUAGAUAUGUGCCGACACUCUUAACGAUGACCAAUUUCAAUCCUCUUCAUAUUAGAAAACAAAACAACAAAUCAUUUUAUAAUAGUUCGAUAUUUAAUUUAUAUUGAUAUCUGAUUAAAUUUAAUUUAGAGAAUAGGUAAUGUGAGAGUAAACAUAAUCUAUUGGACAUAGUAGUAUAGUGAUAUCAGAUAUGUAUGUUUUUUUUCUAAAACUAUAAUGUGACAAAUUAUUAAUUAAAUGAAAUAAAUAGAAGAUGUGUUUGCUUUUAAAGGGUACCCCUACAAAGAUUUAAUUGAAGCCCACAGUUUUCAUAGAAUUUUUAGGGUUUUGAAAAUAAUGCAUGGUCCUUAUUUUUCUUGCUUUCACAACAUUGAUUUAUGGUUGGUUGAGUGAGAGGUGGAGGGAGCCAUAUUAAUUUUGACUUUCAAAGGGUUUGUUCGAAAUAAAAUAUAUUUAUACGAACAGAUUAUUUAUAUAAUUAAAUAUCAAUAUUAUUGUUGUUGUAAGUUUCAAUAAUGAUAUUAUCAUCUUUUAAUUUAUUAUUACAAAGUUAAAUUAAUGAUAUUAAAAAUAUUUAUAUAAUAUGAUUUUUAUAUAUACAAUUUAACCAAAUCCUUAUCCUUUUAGCAUAAAGUUGUGAUGUAAUUUUCAUUGGGACUACCCUAUAUACUAUUCUGAGUAAUUGGACUACCUUGUCGUCCUAAAUGUGCAAGUAGACAAGUUGGAAGUACAAAUAUUUAAUUAUUCUAUCUUUUACGAUUUUUGUUUGAUCAUAAAAUUUUAUUUUAUUUAUUAGUUAGUAUUACUGUUUAAUUAUGAAAAUUUUAAAUUUAGUUUAAUUUUUUUUUAUUUUUUACUAAUAUUUAUCAUUUACAUUGGAGCUCGACUAAAGACCUCCUAACAAAGACGAGUACGUAUUGACAGAGACUCAAAUUCGAGAUCUUUGUUUAAGAAUGAAGAGUACUUACACUCCAUCACAAUUCUUAUCUAAAGUCAUAUUUCAUUUUAUUUAAAAAAAAUUAUAUUUAUAUAUACAUAUACUAACUACAUGUUAACUUCAUUCUUCUUCUUUUUAUAUAUAUUUUAAUUUAAUAUUUUUAGAAAUAAGAAUCAUUAAUCGUGGUAGACAUGACAUGUUCUCUCUUUCUUUUUCUUUGUUGAGUAAAACCAAAAUAAUAAUUAUGAUAAUUAACACUGAAAAUCAUAAAGGUGGUAGUAGUAUAUUCAAAGCUUCAAUUUUUGCAUUUGUUUUUCUACAUUUAAUUUAUUCUUUCUUUUUAGAUUAUAUUUGCAAAUGGACAACUUAGGAUUUGCAGGAGUAGGACGAUAAAAUUCUAUGAAACAACUAAUUAAUGAGAACUGACAAAAAAAAAAACAAUGGGACAUUGUAUCAGUAAAACAUGUUACAUAUGCAAUAUAAUAAUCCAGAGUGUCUACCUCAAAUAAAAUUAACGGAUUGUAUCAAUUGGUUAUGUCGAAUUAUAUAAAAUUUAUGAAAGUUAAGUAAUUUAAUGAGCUAAGAAUGCUUGUCAAUAAUUACAAUUACGUGUUAUUUUGUUCGUUUCAUCUUAGUUAUUAUGUUUUGUAUUUUAAAUAUAUAUUAUUGACUUAAUUUAAAUAAUAUAUGUCAUUUAAUUUUUAAAUAAUUUAUAAAUUUUAAAUUUUGAAUCUGUUUUUCUGUUUAUACGAAGGAUGAGGGCACCCCUGAGCUAUAAGGACAAACCAAAAUCCACAGCGAUUCAUUUGUCCUUAAAUGUGCAAGUGGACUAGCUACUUGAACACCAAAGUCUUCAAAGACACACACUGUAUACUCCACUUAUCAAUAUCUCUCGAAACGAAUUCAGUAUUUAAAUUUUAUCGUAAGUAUUUUAUAAUUUAUUUGAUUUUUUCGAUUCAUAACAUAUUCCUUGAACUUCAUAUGUGUGUGUAGGGUUUGAGGUUAUAUUUACAAUUUGCAUUGAACCUCAAUUUAGAACUUCAAUUUCAUAUUAAAAAAAUUCAACUUACGAAAUAAAAACGAUUCUACAUCCAAAAAUUGAUCAAAAGCUUCUAAUUAAAAAUUAAAAAAAAAAGAUUUAUCACUCAAAUACAAUUUUUAUUAGUCGAAGAAAAUGAGUUGACGUAGUAAGAAAUGUCGUUUCAUUAGGUAAAUAUAAAUUUUAAGAAAAAAGCCAAACGACAAAAGUAGGAUGUCCAAAUUCCUUUUUGCUAUAUAUUUAUAUAUUCUUAUAUCACCUACUAUAUCAUUUUAUUUUGUUUUUAUGACCUAUAUAAUUAUUUAAUUUUUUUUAUAACCUAUCAUUACUAUACACACGUCCAUGAAAAAAAAUGUCGGUAGAGAACUAUAGUCCACAAGAUACUUUUAUUGAAACUUAUGGGGUUUUAAUGUAAUUUCAUGAACUAUAAGUUGUGUAUGUAUAAUUGAAUUACAUUCCCUACACAUUGACCCCACACGUUUAUAAAUGUGAUAGACACGUCCCAUCCUAUUUUUUUGUUUUGUUUCUUCAAAUAGAUUUUUCUCAUUAUUUAAUUAUGUUUUGUCACUUAAAGAAAUCGAACACAACAAUAACAUACCUAGUGAAAAUUUUCAUUACGUAAGAUCUGAGUAUGAUAGGUUUCACGCAAAUUUUAUAUCGUAGAGAUAGAUAAAAUGUUUUAGAUCUUGUGACACCUUAUCUAAGUUAAUGAAGUCUUACAUCGGCCUAAAUAUGAGAGAAAUAUAUUUAAUAUAUAAACAAGCAGGUCAUACAAAUUAGUGAUGUGAUUUAAAGUCGUAUGAAUUUAGACCCAGAGUGGAUAAUAUCACUAGUUAUUACAAAAUAACUUGUGGCUAGUAAAUUUUUGAUAAUAUAUAUUGUAGGUUCAUCAUCAUUAAAUAGAAUAAUUAGUGGUGAAUCUUAAUUAGACUUACAAUCAGCUAUUCAACACAUAUAAUUGAGAGAGAAAAUGAUUGAAAUUGUAAUUUGUUGACUAAUUAAGAGUUGAAUUUUAGGGCUUAAAUAUUUUAUUUUUAUAAACUUAUGUUCCAAACUUUAUUUUCCACGACAUGGAGAAGACUACGUAUAUGUUGACUUUUGUUACUAAUAUUGUUAAUUGAUUGAAAUACUCACGUAUUAUUUUUUUUUCAAAUUUUCAUCAUUUUAUUCCAAUAUUAAGUAAACUUUGCUUCUUUUAUUAAAUUGGUUAAGCAUCAGGUGUCUCAUUCCCAUCAUGUUUAAUAGAUGAAGAUAAUAUUUAUUUUUCAAUUUCAAUUUUGUACGAUUGUUAUCCACUAAUUUUUUUAAUAAUCACUUAGAUUUAAUAUGUUCAAUUUAGCUACAACACAGUGUUUAGAGUCUAAUGAUAUCGAUGGAAAUCUCUCAUAAUAAUGAGUGUGAGUUCGAUUCUCGUUAAUCCGAUAAGUGUGAGUUCGACUCUCGUUAAUCCGUUCUUCCCCUCUAUUGGUCCCUAUGUAAUAAAAAAUAAGAAAAAUGUUUAACUUAAAAAAAAGAAAAAAACCUAAUAAAUAUCAAUAUCUCAAAUAACAUUUAUUUUAUUUUGGUAUAUAUAUAGGUCAAAAUGUCAAUAUUUUAGCAUUUAAGAGGACUCAUUAGCAAUAAUUUCAAUAUUUAGUAAAAAUGUCAUUUUAGUUUGUUAUGUAUCUUAUUUAUGUUUUUAUUAUUUAUUUUUAUUUAAAGAAUACAAUUAUUUAAUAACAAAGAGGAGAAAAUUAAGGGGGGAAUUAUUUCAAAAAAAAGACAAGCAUCCUUAAAUUUCUCAUCAGUUACAUUUUCAAAUAAAAUUUAAAUUUUGUUUUUUUUUCUCCAGAAUUUUUGCGUUUUUAAAAUUAUAUUCAUUCCACAAUAUAUUCUAUUUAUAUUUAUUAUAAUUUUUUAUUAGUUUGUAUUCAUUCCAAUAGGUAUGCCGAAUUUAUCUAUAUAGUCAUUUAAGAAAUAUAUUUGUAUUUUCAUAUAUUUUUUCCCUAUAUAGUUAUUUUUUUCUUCAAAAAUCUUGUAUGUAUUCAUUUCAAUAUGUAUUUUAUUUGUAUUUCUAUUUAUUCUAGUUUUUAUUUAGAAUUUUGUAUAAUAAUAUAUAAAAUACAAAAAAUUAGUAUGAUGAAAAAGUGAAUGAAAUAUAAAAUUGAAAAGAAAUAAUUGAACAUUUGGUGUACUCAUUCUUAAAUAAAAUACAUAACUAGUUGACAUACCUUUAGAAUAAAUACAAAUUAAAAAAAAAUGUCAAAUUCAGUUGACAUACCUUUAUUAGUUUGUAUUCAUUCCAAUAUGUAUGUCAAAAAUAAAAUGUAGCUAUUUAAGAAAUACAUUUGUAUUCGUAUAUAUUUUUCACUGUGUAUUUAUUUUUCUUUUCAAAAUCUUGUUUCAUUUUCUUAGUCGUAUUUAUUCUAAUAUGUCUAUUAUUUGUAUUUGUAUUCGAAGACAAAUAAACUAAUAGAAAGUUGUUCUUCUUAUAAAUAAAAUACAUAACUAGUUGACAUACAUUUGGAUGAAUACAAAUUAAGGACAAAUACAAGAUUCAUAAACCAUGCAACAUGAAAUUUUUAAUAAAUACAAAUAUUGAUAGUAUACAUAGUGAUUUGAAUACAAAUUAAGAAAGCAUACCAAAUUCUAAAAAGGAACUAUAAAUACAAAACAAACUAAUAGAAAAUUGUUCGACAACUAUCCGAUCUUCGUCGUCUUUUUCAAGAUCCUCACGAGUAGACAAAGAUUCUACAUUUGCGUUCUAAAUUUGAGGAAGGUUUUGCACACCAAUGAGUCUUGUAAAUGUUCUUACCCUCUUUCUUCCCUCAUUUUAGCAGCGGAUCAUACAUUAUACAUUAUUUGUUAAGUAAUAAAUAAAUUAAAGGAUGAAAAAUCACCAGAAAUUGGUUGAUUAAGAUGAAUACCUCUAGUAAGCCUCUUAGAUUCAGCCAUUGAAGAGUAAAUCAGAAAUUGAAAAAUACAAACAACAUUUUUUUAAGAUUUAAACAAAAAUAAAAUUAGAAAAGAAAUCUGAAUAUAGGAUAAAGAUUAGAGAUACCUUAAUCAAAGGGAUUCUUGUUGAUUCAAUUUUGGAUUAAAAAAACAAUCAAAAUAUAUGGCAAAAAAAUAUUUACAACUUGAAUGUUGGAGGAAAAAUCAGAAAAGAUAACCAUGAGAGAGAGAAAAAAUUAAAUGGGAAAGAGAAUUAACAAUUUGAAAAGAUAAAUAUGAGAGAGAAUGAUUUAUUUAUUUUUUAAAAAAAAUAUAUAGAAUUAAUUGAAAAAGAGAGAUAAAAUAGGAAGAAAAUUGGGACACAUAAAUUUUUUAAAAUAAUGACAUUUUUGACAUUAUUGCUAAUAUUUAUUAAGUAUGGAUAUUUUUACUAAAUAUGUUAUUUAUUUUGAUUAGUUUACUAAUUUUUCCAUAUAUAUAUAUGUGUGUGUUUUUAGUGAUGUAAUUGGAUAAUAAAGGAAUAUCUAAAAUCCAAGUACACAAAAGGCCCACCCACAUGCAAUGGAUUAAUAAGUCAAUACUUUGAGUUGCUAUCAUCUUCUUAACGUAUUUCUUAUCUCAAAGUCACAUUCGACUUUUUUGAAAUUAAAAAAAAAGAGACAAAAAGUAUUUUUAGUUACCAAGAUCUCAACUAUCAUAAUCAUCUUAUGUACUGUUUUCCACCCUACAAACUCUUGAUAAAUUCCAUGAGAUAGUAGUAAAAUUGGAGGAAAACAGCUAACUUGAAAAUGAGGUUGAGAUGGUUCGGAUAUAUGAACAGAAGAUAUAGAAAUGUCUUAAUCAGGUUGUGUACUGAGAGGUAGAGAAACGCUAAAAAAGUAUGUGACUAGUGAUUACAUAGGACAUGACACAUAUGUAAUUUAUCGUAGACGUGACCCUAUAUGAGGAUAUGGAGUAAAUAUAAAUAGAUAGUUUAUAGUCGAGUACGGUCUAUUCCUCUUAUUGGCAUAUAACUAUUAUGACUAGCUCUCACUACCUUGUUGUUGUGACCGCGUGUUCUUUUCUUGCUUCUUCGGUUUUCGUAAUCUUUUACGUUGUUAUUAUUAGUUUUUACAUUAUAUUCUUAAUUAUACAUGACUUUUUUACUGUUGUAUUUCCCUUUUAUAUUGUUUGAUAUGCUUUAUCUUAAUUCUUACGUGAUGAUGAUCUAUCGGAAACCACAUCUCUAUCCUCACAAGGUAGGAGUAAAACGAACAUAUUACCCUCUUCAGAACCCACUUAUGGAAUUUCGUUGAAUAUGGGCUAUAUAAUGACGACGGGGUAAACUCAUGAAUUGGGGCGGGCCACCACCACAUGACCCAGGGAAUUUAUUACCAGGCCCAACCCAAAUUAGAUAUAUAAGGUAUGGAUUGGGCCUGUGUCACAUAGUAGGUCCAAACAUAAAAUACUCUUGAGAGAUUUUUUGCUUGAUUAGUGAUCAAGAUGAGCAUAUAAAUGGAAGUAUUUAUGCAAAUAGUCACUUCAUGUUUAUGAUAGGUGUAUAAAAACUUGCAUCAAAGCAAAAAACCUGCUGGUCAACGAACACGAGAUAUCGAGUAAAUCUGUCAGGCAAAGUUAAAUAACAAUAGGCUCAUAGUAAACGUUGUAGCUGAAGGUUCGAACCUGAGAUCAUUAGAUUGUUACUCAUAUAUGCCUCAACCACUCGAUCAUUCUCUCGGAGACACGUCUCCUGUUUUUCCAUUUACUUUCUUUCAAAUAUGAGAGAAGAGAAUACCUUGUAGAACGGAAGGAUUGAAGAAGAAUCAAGCCUCACAUAAGUAAAGUUUCGAGCUCUAUUCAAACAUCAAGGCUGCACUCUUACCAUUGAACCAAAGCCCCGGGGGCUAUUACAUUGUAAGAAUCAUGUAGAGGGUUUAUCUAUUUUACAACAGCAGCAUUACCUAGAACGCUUUAACUUAUAAUGAGGUUUUAUAAUUAUGAUUUCAGUAACAAUUACUUGCACAGCAAUGUGAGACAUGGAACUUAACUACAUAGUAGAAAUGAAUGAAUAGCUUCCAUGGACAAAGCUCGAGUAGAGCUUACUUUCUGAUUAAUGAAGUUCAAGCUGCAUUUCUUCUCAGCGACCAAAGUAACAAGAUCCUUCACCGGCCAAAGAACCUAUCUUCACUCUUUGUUAUCAACAAUCUCCGGAAGGCUCUGCAGUGCCUGUGAUGGAAAAAGAUAUUCAUACCAACAGGGGAGAAAGAGAAAAGAAUAUGAAAUGGUGAUUGAACAAUGAUUCUUGCCACUGACCUGAUAUAAGUACCAGGAAACAAAGGCAUCUGUAGCAGCAUAAUGUAGUUGGUCCCUAGAUAACACAUUAGCCUCCCAAUUCCCCAACCUGAUAUUACUUGGCUUUGGGAGCUGCAAUGAAUUAAAAAAAUCAGUUGAAUCUCACACUUAAUUGGAAGAAGAACAACUGGAAAGAUUUGGAGGACAUUGAAGCACAACAUAGUUAAUGUAGUAAGAAAAAAUUUGUUCAGCAAGAUUUACAUUCACUUCAAGAUUCCAAAGCUUCCAAUUCAGAAAAAUUAAAGGUUGAUUGAAAAUGUCGGGUCAUGAAAAGGAUUAGGAAAAGGAGGAGCAAAGCAACACCGUAAGGUCCUCCGUGAUGACAUUCAGGGUAUACAUAAAGCCACCCAUUAGGCAUUUGGCACAUUGAGGAGACUCGUGGGAUGCUCAAGAUCUACUUUGGAGAGAGAAUGUGUUUCCUGAUGCUGUUACUUACAGUGAGCAUGCUAGGAGGAAGACGGUGACUGGCACGGAUGUUAUGUAUUCCCUCAAGAGACAGGACAGGACUGUACGGUUUUGGGGGUUGAGAGGAGAUUUGGUUCUGUCCUUAGUUUUGUCUGCAAAGGUCUCUCUGUCAAGAAAAGCACAAUAGUUAUCUUAAUGGUUGGUAAUGAAUAUAGUUUUUGUUUGGGUGGUGGCAGUUCCAAUCUUGUGUAAUAAUGAAUAUAGUUCUACUGUAGUAGUACCAGUACUUUUGUCAUUUGAGAUUUGGUGGACUCUUGUUUCAGAAUUUCUAAAAUUUGCUCCAAUUCAGUAUAUACUACUGACUGAUUCAAAAAAAAAAAAAUAGAUUUUACAUUCUAAUAUGCACAUAUGUAUAGCAGUCAGCAAUGAGGUAGCAUUUCAACUUGGUCUCUUCUUUAAAAGUUGCCAAGUUUGAAGUUCUUUUAUAGUUUUUAUAGACCUUAACAAUUCAACUAAAAAACCUCGAGUCUAUAGAUACGAAACUGACUAGAACAGUCAAGAAACUAGUCUCGGAUUACCCCUUUACCCCCUCCCUGACCCCUGGGGUCAGGGAUCUCAAAAGCAGAAAGGAAAAGCAGAAACUAAAAGACCUGCUUGGCAAGAAGCUUCUCAGUUAAUGAUGCUAGACUCCACUUCUUGGGAUCAUCAAGCUUUUUGUUGGCAAGUUCGGAAAGAUCUUCCAAAGCCUUCACAGAUACAUUGUGAUCUUGGCGAACUUUGAAAGCAUCAUUUGCAAUGCAAACACCCACCUAGGUUUGUUCGAACACCAUAAAGUUAAGAAACCACAUCCUAUUAUAAUUCAUUGUUUGAUUAAUGUUACCAGAAAAAGCAAACAAAUGCCAACCUUCACAACAGUUGGAUCCUCAAGAAGAGAUUGCAGAGUUUGAGGGAUUCCGGAGUGGAUGAUAUGCAAAACAUAACAAUUACCCUUGUCACCACAUAUCUGCAUAACAGCAGCCUUCCCAGGUGGCACACCUGAAGAGAACACCUAUUAUUCUGUAAUCACUAUAACUUACAACAUUCCACUUAACACAAGUAAAAUGAAGCAGAAAAUCCAUUUAAUUACGGAUGUGAUAACUAAAACAAAAGGUCGGGGGGGUUAUAUUCGCCUACUUAUAGACUAAAGAGCAUGUCUAAACAACUAGAGCAUGAGUGCAAGAAGUGAAGCCAAACAGGAACAUACAAAAGAAUAAUCUCUCAAUAAUAUAUUUUAGGAGAAAUUUUAUAUAGAGAAAAGAAGUCUUUCUAAUCACCACAAGUAUACUAAGAAACUCUUGGUAGACAUAUCUACUAAAGAUGCAGAUGUAAUCACUAAGAUGCAUGCAGUGACUUAUGCCUGUUUUCUCAAAAUAUCUUUGUCGUCAACAUAUUCUGGAUGUACUUUUCAUGACUUUUGUCUAUACACUCUGAUUGCUCCAAGAAAACAACAGCAGAUAAAGUUACAUGAUUUAGAAGAUCCAUAUAUCCAACCCCAACUAGCUCGAGAUGAAGCAUAGUAGUGGUUGUUGAAGUUUUAAAGAUAACACAAGAUCAAGUAAGUUCCGCAACAUCAAGUAUGAACUAUCAAACUUCACCAGGUGUCAAAACAAACAAUGUAACCUUUUGACCUUGUGGGAUGAUUCUUCAACAAAUGUCACAUUUUAUAACUUAUAACAUUCCAUUUAACACCCCCUCAAUUAAGCUUAGUAUAGUAAAAAGCUAAAGAAAGAGAAUAAAUGCAAAAGCUACUAAAUCGAAAGACUGAUAGGAUUGUAGAACUACUCAAGAAUUCUGAUUAUAGUUCUCAUAUUUCAGACAGUAGUGAAACUAUUUAUUCGAAACAUUGAACUGACCUCUUCUAAAAGUGGGCUUCCAUUCAAUGUCAAAUCCAAGAGCAACAUUCCCUUCUUUCCUCUUCUUUUCCUCAACAAAAUUUAACAGCUCUACUGCAGAUUUCUCCACCUCGUUAAUAGUUCUGCUGUAUAUAACACGUCCUUUAAAGGACAUUUCCGGGUAUUGCAUCACUAUCUUAGCUGCUACAUCAAAAAACAAAAACAAAAACGAGGACAUUAAAAUCCUUUAACAAACUAGCAACCAUUUAUAAUAGACAACAUAAACAAUUUAUGACUACUAAAAGCUCGAGAGACAAUUUUUUUGGAGCAGUAAAACAGUAUCCCAAACUGUGUUCCUCCAUUCAGUUUACCUAGCUUAUUCUAAGUACUCACCUAAAAAGGGUAAAUAGUGUGCAGGCUUGAUUCUCAUUAUAUCGAAUUCAUAAUAAAUGUUCGCUAGCAUAUCGAUCCAUUAAUUCACUAAAAUGGAAAUUAGCCUAAGAUUUACCAUAAACCUAAAAAAUUAAAUCUUUAGAUGAAAAAACAAAAUACUAAUACCACACCUAAAUUGUUUCCCUUCUGAAUUUACUUUCUGGUGUUCAAAUAUCUAAAACUAUUAAACACAGAACUAAGUUAUUUUCUCACUAUAGAUAUUUCAUAUAAUUUACUUGAUUUCUACUAUUUCUUUAUGACUGUGGUGUUUGUCCAGCUUUCACUCACCUCGACUAAUUUCGUGGAUAACUUCACCUCCCACCAGUAACAUCCCUGAUUAACAAUUUACUACAAUUUGGCAAAUAGAGCUAAAAUUUAAAAAAAAAAAAACUAGUUACACAAGAAAAUAACUUCUUUCAUGGAUAGUAAUUAACAAUUUACUACAAUUUGGCAAACAGAUAGGAGAAACCGUCACCUUGAUUAGAAGAACGAGAGGAAUAGCUACACCGAGACUGAUUUCUAGUGCAAGGAGACAACAAUGACGAAUCGGAAACCUCAUUUUGUUGAUGAUAUACAAAAAGAGAUGCCGGCAAUUUCCGGCGACUUUUCCGACGGGAUUCUUCGCCGGCGGCGACUACAGAAUCGCUUUUUCUCUUGGUAGCUGAUUCAAAUGCAGCAUCUAUCUCUUGGAGUUCUUCCUCUGUAAAAGGUCGAUCCCAAUCGUCUAAUUCGCCGGAGAUCGGAGUUCCCAUUUUCGCUAAAUGAGUACAAAACUGAUUUUUCUUUUCUUUUUUUUUUUGGCAGCAAAAAAUAGCGGCACUUUUGAGCUUUGAUUUUUUAGUUUUUUUAUUUGUAUUGUACUCCCUAAAAGUUUUUUACUAUGGUUUGAUUGACCCAUUAUCUAUUUGAAAAUUACACUUUUUACCCACAAAUCUCAGAGAUACAAAUAGUCAACCUUAAUUAAUUUGGAACGAAUAAUAUUAAACAAUAACUAUAUUACGCCACAAUUUCGAGUAAGUUGAGGUCAGCUAUAAAAAUCUCCACGUGACCAUAUAGCUUUAUUUAAGCUUGUAUCAAAACUAUCCCUACUAAUAACAAACGAUUGCUCGUGAUUUGAACAUGUCGAAUCACUUCGAACGGAUCUAUUGCAAAUCCAUUUCUUGGCCUCAUAUGAAAAACUGAAGCAUUUUAUCUAUUGAUAGAUGAAGAAUCACGAAAGAUCAAAGGCUAUAUAAAAUAAAUAUUUAUUACUGUAUGUCAAAUUAUGUAUGACAUACCCUUUAUACAUAUGAUACAACAAACAUUUGUUGAAUCACACAUAUUAAUACUAAAUUAAUAUUUCCAACAUAACAAAUCGAAAUAAAAUUACUUAAUGUGGGCUAUUAGCUGCAACAAGUUUAAGAAUUUCUAAAGGAAUAUGAAUAAAUUUAACCAAAGCAUUACGUGCAUUAGCAACCUCAGCAAUAUGAUUAUCAACAUAAUCAUCAACAUCAACUGAAUUAGUGGUACGCAUUGCCUUAAGACGAGGAUAACACACUUCGAAAUCCGUUAUCGCGGUCGUAUAAUAAUUAAUCGCAUCUUUAAACGCGUCAUUAACCGUUGAAUCGACCGCGUCGUCGAUUAACUCGAUAGCCGGUAUAAAAUGAUCGUUACAAUCACUUAAAGCUUGUUGUGUAUCGGACGAUAAUUUGUCAUCAUUGUUAAGGAGCUUCAUACGGACCGUUAUCGACACAUUAGUGGCCUCUUGUUCGAUUUUUUUAAGCGCCAAAAAGCCUAUUGUUUUUAAAUCGGCUUUUUGGAGCGAAUCGAGAUCGGCUUGUGACCUGUCUGUUUGAAUCCAUGAAAUACAUUCAUUAUUGUUGUUACAUGCUUUGGCAAGAUUUGGAGGAAUAAUAUUUAAGGCUUGAGGUUGAAUUCUUCCAUUAACAAUAGGUAAUUGAAGAGUUAAGCAAAGGAAAAAGGCUAAAGGAAUUAAUUUAAUAAGAAAAGAAUUUGACCUCCUUGAUAAAGAAAAGGAGAUCAAAGCCAUAAUUAGUUUUAUUUUAAAAAAAACUUUUUUUUUCCUUUUUUUUUUUUAACCCCAAAUUUACUUGAGUAUUAUCAUUGUUCUUUUCUUGUUUUCUUUGUUUUAUAUGAAAAUUGUUAUUGAUAGUUGAAAAAGAUUGGUAGAGAUAAAUGUUCUCUUUACCACCCUUUAUGAAUAGAGGUUUUUAAUAAAAAUUGUGGGGGGUUCAAUUAAUUUUAUUUUUGUUUUGUAAAAAUGAACUAAAAUUGAGGGAUUGUGUUUUUCUCUUUGUAGUGACCAUUCAUUUGUUAAGAAAUAAUUUUUUUGAGGUAAAAAAAAAAAAGGAAAGCUUAAUCAUUCUUAAAGAUCUUGUUUUGUUGUAAUGUCUUCAUUUUUAAUCUUCUUUUAGGUUUUGUGGUUCUUAAAGUGUUAAAUAUGGUAGUAACAAGUGAAAUCUAGAGAAGACGAUGUAUACACAAACCUAACUUUUUACCUUUUGAAGGUAAAAGAGGUGGUUGUGAUAAACCUUCGGCUCUAGUAACACAUUUUAAUCAAUCUUUCGUCUUUCAUUUGAAUUCACAUGUUCUCGCAUGAUUUUCACCCACUUUCAUCGAUCGAGAUAUGCAAGUAAGCCAUAAUCCAUGAAUCUCCAAGAAAAUGGACUUUGAAAAUUGAGAUACAAAAUGCAACAAGCCCAAGUAUAAGAUCAUAAGCUUUGUAACCAAAUGUAACAUCAUUCUCAUUUUAAAUGUUAAAGGCACACCUUUACAAACUAUAAUGACAACAACCAAAAUCUUAGUAAAGGUACCAAAACAUACUAUUGAGAUACCUAAUAAAUAGUAACUUAAUCUGAAUAAGAUCCCCAAUAGGAAAAAUAUGGAACUAUGGAGAUUGAUGAGAAGUUAAUUUUAUUCUCACGUGAAUGGAGCAGCAACAUUUAGUCGUGUAGCUAAGAGCAUAAGAUAAAGUCUUGAACUUCACACUAGCAUCAACAUGUCUGGUCUUAAAGAACUAUAAGAAACCACUACUCAGAUGGUGAAUUUGAUAGUACUCGGGGACCAAGGAUAGCAAGAAACACCGAUACUCAUUCUCAGCGCUUGGAUACUACAAGAUAUCAAGAUAGAAAAAGCUUCCUACAAGAAGAUAUCAUGCUCUUCUCAUAAUAUUUGUGCAGCAAUAGAGACAAUCGUAUGGUGCUGUACUACUAUCAAAGCCUGAGACCAAACAAAACAGUCACGUAUUUCAGUUCCUAGAAUAACUUAGUCUCGAAACGUUGACAUAAGAAUAUGAUAGAAAAUCCUUCUUAAAGUCACAGUGUAACAAUGAACCAUGAAUGACUAAGUAGACUUAUACACCAGAGCCAUGAGCCCCUUGGAAAUAUUAGAUACAUAACAACUGCCAAUAGCACAGAGCUAUUUAAGUAAUUCGGAACUUGUUUAUUUUCUGUAAGUCAAUCAUUCAGUUGCUUCUUUUUUUCUAUCCUAUUCGACACUUGUUAAAAUGUUGUAUUUAUGCAAGAGUCUAGGGGGUAAAAAAAGAGGAACAUUGUUCAAAGUUAUCGUUUAUAAAUACUGAUGAUUUUUGUGAGCUAUAGACCAGAUUGCGUCAGUAAGCAGCGCACAACGAAUUGCUGUAUCUCCUAAGAGACAAUGUACUUAAGAAAACUGAAGGUUCCCCUGCCCCCAUUUUUACAUGACUCAUAGCAGCACCAAGUCAUAAUCCCGAAUAGAGAAUCACAUUGAUAUUCACGCUUUAUUAUUUUAAAUUGCAACCACUUAGAAUAACAAGCUAGCAAUUCAGAGAACAAUUUUAUCUUUUGACAGGUAUUAAGAGGAGUAAUUUUCCACUGAGAUAAACAUUAUAAGCUACAAACUUUUAUAAGCAGUGGAUGCAAGAGCUACUGGGGAGCCACUUCCUGCAAAUUAUUAGGGAGCACCAACGAGCAAACCUAAUAUGAAACAAUUUAAUGCAAAAUACAAAACAUACGAACCUCAACGUAAUCCAAAAAUCUCUUCUGGAGGAUCAUAUAUGUGCCGAUCCGGAAAAAUCUCUUCAAAGUCUUGCUUAACCCUAUUUCUUAAUAGUGGGUGUGGCAAAAGUCCCUUCAACAAAACCCUGAAAGGUAGCUCCUCAGGUGGGUAUGGAGACUUCUUCAUGUCUUCAAAUAUAUUCAUAGCAUCUGCAGGAGAUCCAUCUCUCAAGAAUCCCCUAAUAACUUCAGUGAAUGUCUGACAAUCAGGAAAUAGAUCUUCCUUUCUCAUACUCUCCCAUAACUUCAUUGCAUCAUCCAUUUUUCUCCGUCUCGCCAACGCAAUGAUCAGGUCCUUGUAAAGAUAGACAUCGGGUUGGUACCAGGCUUGUUUCUGAAUUACCCAAAACACCUGAAAUACAAACAACUAGCUGUGUGUGAUAAUGCCAUUCCAUAUGCCCCAAAAUAGACUUCGAUAAAUUAACUGAAAAUGACAUUAGCACGCAUAUCAAGAUUCAAAAUGUAUGAUCUCAACCAAAAAGGAAACAAAUAGAAUAGCUUUAAGCAGAUAUCCGAAAAAGCAACAGCACAAUUUUAACAAUGUUUUGCCCAUUUGAUAACUUAAAAUAGAACAACUUCACAAGAAAAAAAAUUAUAAAACCACUGAACAGCGAACACUAUUGACCAAUUCUCUUAUUUAUAUUAUGAUCUAAUAUAAACACCUUCUCCAACGACUCAUCACCAAAGCACUGAAUGCACUUCACUCCAACUACUGCCUUAUAAGCGAAACUAUACAAGUUUUAUCGCAUCCAACUAAACUUGGGCACCUAGACGCUAAAUGGGAACAAAGAAAGAUCACAGCUUAAAGAUAAAUCCAACAGCAAUAACUUCCUCUAUUACUAAAUGCAACAAUAAAACUUCUGAAAUAGAAAUGAGAAAACAGUAGGUGAUCUUUUCACAUUUGCUCAAGCCUGGUGGGCAGAGUCACCUAGUACCCGUUUACUCAGUUUAAUUAGUCGAUGUGCGUACAAGCUGGCACGGACAGCGGUACUAAAACUACUAUUGUGCAAUUCUUGUUUACUAGUUUCACUUACUCCAUAUAUGAACAGAGAAAAGAAAAAUCACAUUUUUUGGCAUUAGAAAGCUUACCUUAACAGCAAGAGAGACUUCUUCUUGGCGUUCAAGCUCAUUAAGUACAGCAAUCAUAUCCAUUUUAAGAAGUCUAAGGACAUGUGUUUUAACAAACUUGUCAAGCUUUUCUUCAUCAUCUUUGAAUCUUCUUAACCCAAGAAUCACAAAAAGUGCUUCUUUUCCAAUCAAUUUCUUUCCCCUCCAAAGUGACCCUCUUGGUCUUCCAUCAUGGUACCACCUCACAUCCCUCACUGAACUUCUAGAAAACUCAGGAACCCAUGAUGGAGAACAUGAAGAAGAAGAUGUUAAGGUGGAAGAAAUUGAUGGUAAUGGAGAAACUGAAAGGUGUUUAAGAAGCAAAGAUGGAAUUUUUAGUCUUGAAAUGGUUCUAAUUGCCAUUUUUGAAAGAUGGCUAUGAAAGGGAAGUCUGUACGAUGGUUAUGGUGGCGGAGGCGAUGGAUACAGAGGCGCCGGUGAUGCUCCGGCGGAAGAAUCAGUGAAAUUGGGUAUUAGGGUUUGACAACUUCCGAUUAUGAAGUUGAAUUGGGGAAGAAAUAUUAGUAGUUAUUUACUUUUAGACACCUUAUGUUUUUGAAAACUAACAUUUAGUCCAUCUAGCUUUUGAAAAAUACUUAAUUGGUCCCAAAUUGUCCACCUAGGCAGUCCAACGUGUGGAACUCUGUCAGUUCCUUGUUAGUUAUCUUGCGUAUCUUUGAGAAUCAAUAUGAUUAAAUUUUAAAUUAACUCAGAGUAUAUUAAUUUUAUAUUUUUAAUUAAAAAUUAUAUAUUUAAAUACUAUACAAAAAACAUUAUAUAUUACAAUUUUUUUAUAAAAUACUAAUCAAAAGUCAUAUUGAUUGACUCUAAAAAAAAAUACUUAAUGUUAUUUCAUUUUCUUAUUAUUUUGCUUUUCACGAGCAAAAGUUUCUCCAAAUUAUUUUAUUUUAAUAUAUCGUAUCCUUUCAAUUGACACAACCAAAAAUAAUAGUUUAUUUUUCAUCUGCAGACGAUGAGUUAAGAUAUCAUGAACUUUGGGUUUUGUGAUAAACCUUUUGUUGAAUCAUUUUAAUUUAACCAAAAUUAAUGAAAUUUUAUGUCUUUAAAAUUAGAAAAAAGACGAAAAAAUUAUAAAAAGAGAUAAAUAAGAUUUCAGCUAAAAGUGCCACAUCACCAAAGCUAUAUAUAAAUAAAGGGAUUUUUACUAGUCAUAGAUUUUUUUUUAAUUAGAAUUUUAAUCAACAUUUACUAUGCAUUUUUUUAUCAUAAUGAUAUAUAAAAAAAUUACAAUCUAUAAUAUUUUUAUAUAUAAUUCUUAAAUAUUUAAUUUUCUAACUAGAAUUUCAGCUAAAAGUGCCACAUCACUAAAGCUAUAUAGAAAUAAAGGGAUUUUACUAGUCAUAGUUUUUUUUUUCUAACUAAAAUUUUGAUUAACAUUUGACUAUAUAUCUUUUUAUCGUAUUGAUAUGUAAGAAAAUUAUAAUUUAUAGUAUUUCUUUUUUAUAAUUUUAAAAUAUUUAAUUUUCUUUAAAAAAGUUAUCAAAAUAAUGUAAUAUAAUCUAACUUUUAAAAAUAAUUAAAUUAACUUUUCAAAAACGUAAUCCGUCGAAUAAAAGUCGACUGAAUAGUUAAUUAUCAAUGUAGUCAAACUAGGAUUGCAUAUUUUCAUACAAGACUCCAAAAUUUGGGGGGGAAAAAGUCAAACUAAUAAUAAUGAUGGUAAUAUCUGAAAUAGAUUAGAUCAGAAAUCUCUACCCAUAAAAUUAAUUGUAUAAAAGGAGGAAUGAUCAUAUAUAAAAAACAAAAAAAAAAACAUAUAGUUGAAUAUUUUCUUUCUAUCAUGGAUUAUUCACAUUUCAAGACUAUAUUAUUGUUAUGCAUUUUCUUCUUCUUUUGCUUUCCACAAGCAAAAGGGAAUCAUCGAUGGAACACAUACACUGUUGUUAUAUAUAAUGGCCUUCCAUUUGAUUCGCCCAAAUUAUCGAUUCAUUGUUAUUCUGCAGACGAUGAUUUAGGAUAUCAUGAUCUUGCUGCAUAUGAAAAUUUCAGUUGGAAGUUCAAAUUUAAUCAAUGGCUUUGGGCUAGAACAAGGUUCCAUUGUCAAUUUUGGUGGGACAAAAAAAGCAAAUCUUUUGUUGUAUUUAAUGAUUACGAUCACUGUAUUUUGUAUUCGCCUAUUCCUACAACAAAUUAUUGUCAAUGGACCGUACAAGAAGAUGGCUUUUGGCUGACUAACUAUAGAGGGGAUACUUAUAGAGUUUUUGAAUGGUGAACGAUAAUAGUUUAUAAUCUUAUAAUACUUUUCAUUGAAACCUUUACUUUAUAUAAAUAACAAUGCUUCUUUUUUGUUGCAUUACUGAUUUUUAAUCUUGUUGAAUUAUAAGUGUAUAAAUUGAAGUUGAUGAUUUUUUUUAUUAGUAAUAAAAGUUUAAUAAGUAUAAGUUAUGAAAAUAAACCUUAAAUAAAUAAAAGAGAAAAAAAAACACAAAUAGAGGAGAUAAAAGAAAUAACUUUAUAGGAUAAAAAUUUAUAAUAUUAUAAUACUUUUUAUUGAAACCUUUACUUUGUAUAAAUAACAAUGCUUCCUUUUUGUUGAAUUACUGAUUUUUAAUCUUGUUAAAUUAUAAGUGUAUAAAUUGAAGUUGAUGAUAUUUUUUUAUUAGUAAUAAAAGUUUAAUAGGUAUAAGUUAUGAAUAUAAACCUUAAAUAAAUAAAAGAGAAAAAAAAACACAAAUAGAAGAGAUAAAAGAAAUAACUUAUACGUAUGAUAAGUGAUUUAAGGAAAUUAUACAAAUAACACCAAUAACAAGAUUAAGAGAAAACAAAAAUGUGAAAUUGAGAAAAAAAAAUAGGAAAUAAAGAGAUUAAUAGAUUAAUUGAUGAAAGAAAUUAAAUAUAAUAUCCUUUCUAUUCUAUAAAAUCUUAUGUAUAAGAAAAGAUACUAAUAGUAUAGAUGUAAUGAAAGGAAUUAUAAAUAUUACUAUUAAUAAUUCUCAAUAAAAUUUUAACGUGGAAUUUUAUAUGAUUUAAAAUUAGAAGAAAAAAAAAGAUUAAAAAAUGUAAUAGAUAAAUAAUUUUUUUUAAAAAAAGAUCAAAAAGAUACUAAUAGUAUAGAUGUAAUGAAAGGAACUAAAAGUAUUACUAUUAAUAAUUCUCAAUAAAAUUUUAAGGUGGAAUUUUAUAUCAUUUAAAAUUAGAAGAGGAAAAAAGAUUUAAAAAUAUAAUAGAUAAAUAAAUUUAAAAAGAAUAGAUCAAAUUCAUUCAAUGUAGAUUGUAGUCAAACUAGAAAUGUUGAAUUUCUUUAUUCAAAGACUCCAAAACUAGAAAAGGAAUAAAGUCACUACAAAUUAAUAUUGAUAUUAAUAUCUAAAUUAUCUCAUCAUCUCUUCCCAUAACAUUUAUCAUAUAUAAGAAACCAUAUAGACUCUCAAACAAAUUAAAUUUUAAAUAAUUUUCUUCCUAUCAUGGAUUAUUCACAAUUUAAAAAUAUAUUAUUAUUAUUAUUAUUAUGCAUUUUCAUCAACUUUUGCUUUCCACAAGCAAAAGGAAUUCACCAUUGGGGAAAAUAUACUAAUUCUAUAUAUAAUGGUAAGAACUAUCCUCUGAUGCUACAAUAUUAAAAAAAUACUCUUUAUGUCAAAACUAAAAAGUGGGGAGAAAUCUACUUUUGAUUUUAAACAUAUUUUAAGUUAUUUUAAAUUUAUUUUAAAUUAUUUUUAACCUUUUCAAACAAUUUCUAACUUAUUUUAAGUUGUUUUUAUCUCUUAAAAAUAUAUUUGACCAACUUUUAAAAUUUUAAGCACCUUCUAAGUCAUUAAUAUAGUAAAACUGGGCUAUUAGUGUUGAUGGUAUCUAUAAUCUAUAAUAUCUAUAAAUUGAAAUUUUCAUAAUCAGCCCCAUAAAUUUUGAUUUUUUUUCUUCUUUUAUAAAAGGGAAAUAAUUAUGUAAAUGUGACCAUAAACUCUAACAAAUCAAAGCUGAUAGCUCCUUUCUAGGAUUAUUCACAAAUUAAGACUAUAUCUUUUAUUAUGCAUUUUUUUCUUUUUUUGCUUUUCUUAAAUAAAAGGGUAUUCAAAAUAUAUCGUAUAUAAUAGCCUUCCAAUUGACUCUCCUGAUAAUUAAGAGUUCAUUGUUUUUCUAAAGAAAAUAAUAUAGGAUUUCAUGUACUUUCUCCCUAUGAAGAUAUUAAUUGGUCAUUUAAAGCAAAUCGCUGGAUUAUUGGAUUAUUAGUCGGUGAAAGGAUAAAAAUUAAUGAUAUUUAUAAUACUUUCAAAUGAAAAUCUUAUUAACUUUAAAAAUAUAAUAAUACUUUUCCUUUAAAUUUAUUGGAUUAUCUAUGUAUACAAAUUAGAUUUUUCAUUUUCUUCUUGUAACUUUCCUUAUAUCUAUUAUUCAAUUUUAAGAUUUCGAUUUUGAUUUCUCAAAUAUUUUUUUUUUUAAUAUUUAUCUUCUCAUCAUUUAUGUUGAGUAAUUUUGACAUGACAAUGGAACAGAGUAAGGGAUCAAUAGUUAGAAACUAAGAUGCUAAGUGACCAAUUAAUUAUUUUGUAUAUCAGUAUAUAUACACAAAUAUGUUAUUAUUGUAAUUGUUAACUUUUUUAUACGGAAUAAAUUAAUAAUAUUUUUUACAUCAAUUCAAACGAUAAAAACUAUCUAAAAUUUUCAAGGGAAGUUCUAAUAUCUUAGUUCGUACAAAUUGGUACAUCGAAAAUAUGAAAAUAAUGUGAAAUUAUCCUUUAAAAGAGUAUUUUAUCUCUUGAUAUGAAUUUUAAUGGCAUAAUUCUUUUAGGUGACAUUUUUUUUUUUGGUUAAAGUUUGAUUAAAAUGCUAACCAAAAAGAAUAUAUUACUUUAUUGACCUCUUUUAAGCAAUUGAUGUACUCAAUGAAGAAAAUAAUUGUGUUUCAAAUUCACAAAUUACCUCCAAAACUCAUUGUUAAUGAAAAUGAGUGUUAUAGAUAUAUUAACAGGUGAAUGAUAAUAAUUUAUAAUAUCGUAAAUUUUUUUUAUUAAAACCCUAUCAAUAUUAAAAAGUUAUAAUACUUCUUUGUUGAAUUGUGAAUUUCAAGUUUAUUGAAUUAUUAGAGUACAAAAUUUAAAUAUAUAAUUUUCUUGUUGUAACCUUUUUUUAUUUCGAUAAUUUAAUUUUAAGAUUUCUAUUUUCCAAACAUCUUUUACUUUUAACAUUUUCCUUCCCACCAUUCACGUGGAGAGAUUUCGAAACGCUAAUAAAACAAGAUAACAUAGGAGAGGAAAAAAUGAAUUUUGUUAAAAAGUUAAAAUUGUUCAAUGUUUAGAAGAGUUUUUUAUACUUUUUUUAAUAUAUUUAAUUCAUUUAAUAAAUUGUUAAAUACUUUACGUUUUGUAAACUAAUUUGAGGAUAAUUAAAAAAAUCUAGCAAAUUAAUAACCUAAAAUAGAUGGAGUAACUACGAUUUGAUUUAAUUGUGCUUCAUAACAAACGUUUGCAAAAAAUUGUCAGGUGCCUAUCUCCCAAAUAUCUCGCUCGCCGCUCUCCUUCAAUCUCUCGCUCGCUUCCUCACUUUUUAUACAAAUAUAAGUGUAUAAAAAUUGUUUCCAAUUGUAUAAAGCAGAGAAAAUUAAAUAUAUACAUAUAUUUUUGUUCCUCUCUCUCCCAACUUCCAGAUCUCGCUCCCCACUCUCCCAAAUCUCGCUCACCACGCUCACCUUUCUCACUUAUACAAACAGAAGCGAAAUGUAUAAAUUGCGUUUCUUUUUGUACAAAGCGUGAGAAAAAAUUGUAUGAACACAUGCAAAUAUAUAUAUUUUUGUCCUAUACACUUAUAAUUAUACAAUAAAAAUACUCCCCUGCCCAGUUUCUUUUGCCUUUCUCUCUUUCUCGUUUUAUACAGUUUUCAAAUUGUAUCUAAUUUCUCUCUUUCUCGUUUUAAACAAUUUGAUUCAAUUGUAUAUUCAUUGUCAAGUCUCUUUUGUCUUUCUUUCUUUCUCAUUUUAUACAAAUUCAAAUUGUAUACAAUCUUUCUAUACACUUAUAAUAAUACAAUUCAUUUUAUACACUUCGUUUUUAUACAGUUCUCUGUCCAAGUGUCUUUCUCUUUCUUGUUUUAUACACUUCAUUUUAUACAAUUUGCUUCAACUGUAUAUGUAUAACGAAUUAUAUAGUUUCUAUGUUUGCUAUGGAGCGCAAUUAUGCAAACUUUGUUAUAGCAUACAAAUAUAAAUUUUUUAUUUGCUAUAUGUGAAAGUUGCCCUUAAUAACCUUUAAUUUCUAUUCUUAAAUAUAUUUGUUUUGUGUCAAAUUCUAAUGAUACACUUAAUAUGGACCAUAUAAAAUAUAUAUACUAAGAGGCCGUUUAGAUUGACUUGAAAAAUAAUUUUUAUGUCAAAAUUAAAAAAUAGAGGGAGAUCUACUUUUGAUUUUUGACUUAUUUCAAAUCAUUUUUAAAUUUAUUUUACGCUAUUUUUAACCUUGUCAAGCACUUCCUAACUUAUUUUAAGUCAAAUUUUUUUAUUUAUCUAAAACUUUUUAAACAAAAAAACUGACAGAAAAAUAUAUUUAAUCAAUUUUUAACCCAAUGCAAAUGCCCUCUAAGUCAUUAAUAUAGUCAAACUGGGGUAUUAAUGUUGAUGGUAUCUAUAAUGUCUAUAAAUUGGAAUUUUCAUAAUCUGCCCCACAAAUUUUAAUUUUUUUCUUUCUUUUAACAAAGGGGAAUACUUGUAGCCAUAAACUCUAACAAACUAAAGCUGAAUAGCUUCUUCCUAUAAUGGAUUAUUCACAAGUUAAGACUAUAUACUUCUUAUGCAUUUUUUUCCUUUUUAGCUUUCCUCAAGCAAAAGGGUAUCCAAAAUAUACUGUUUGCGUAUAUAAUGGCCUUCCAUUUGACUCUCCUGAUAAAUUAAGAGUUCAUUGUUUUUCUAAAGAUAAUGAAAUAGGUUUUCAUGUACUUUCUCCCUAUGAAGAUAUUUCUUGGUCAUUUAAAUUAAAUCGUUUGAUUUUUUCGAGAACUACGUUCUAUUGCAGUUUUUGGUGGGGUAAAAGAGCCCAACAAAUUAUUGUAUUCAAUGAUGAAAAGUUGUGCGUUGGAGAUUCACAACUUCCUCAGUCCACACAUUAUUGUCAAUGGACAGCACAAGAGGAUGGUAUUUAUUUGAGUGGCGAACAAAGUUAUGGUUAUAGAUAUAUUAGCUGGUGAACGAAUAAAAAAUUAUGAUACUUUCUUAUGAAAAAUAUAAUAAUACUUUUCCUUUAAGUUUAUUGAAUUAAUUGCCUAUACAAAUUGAAUUUUUAAUUCUCUUGUUGUAACUUUACUUAAAUCUAUCGUUCACUUUUAAGAUUUCGAUUUUGAUUUCCCAAACAUUUUUUCUUCUCAUCAUUUAUGUCGAGUGAUUUUGACAAUGAAACAGAGUAAGGGAUUGAGUUUUAGUAAAUCAAAUGACUUCUAUUAAAUUUAGUCACUAAAUUAAGACAAUAGUUAGAAAUUAAAAUGCCAAGUGACCAAUUAAUUAUUUUGUAUAUCAAUAUAUAUACACGGAUACAUUAUUAUUAAUCGUUAUUUUUUGGUAUGAAAUAAAUCAAUAAUAUUUUUUACACUAAUUCGAAUGGUAAAAUCUAUCUAAAGAUCUUGAAGAAAGUUCUAACAUCUUAGUUCGUGUAAAAUUAAUACGUCUAAAGUAUAAAAAUAGUACGAAAUUAUUCUUUAAAAGAGUAUUUUAUCUAUUGAUAUGAAUUACAAUGGCACAAUUUUCUAGGUGAAUUUUAUUUUUAUGAAGUUUUUUUUAAAAAUGCUAACCAAAGAGAAUAUAUUACUUUAUUGACCUCUUUCAAGUUUAAGUUUUUUGUAUUACAUCAUAUUUAAGCUCAUUUUACUCUAAUAUUAUAAAAUAGAAAUUAUAUACUCUUUUUGUUUCUUUUUAAUUAAUAGAGUCUAUUCACAAUCAGAAAGUGUGAAUUACAUAGAGAUUUUUCUUAGGAAUUAAUAUGAAAAUUCGAAGAAAAAUAAGUUUCAUGUGAAUUUUCAUACUAAUAUUUAGAAAAAAUUCCCAUAUAAUUUACAGUUUAUUAUAGUGAUUAAUUUAUAGUGUUAAAUAUAACAGUUAAUAUAUUCUUUUAAAGGCACUAAGUCAAUAUUAAUAAAUUGAGAAAUAACAGAAAAAUAAAAUUAUUAUAUUUUAUUUAUUAAAAAUGAUAAAUAAAAAUAAAAAUCAAAUUAAAAAAUAGUCAAUAAAUCAUCAAAUGUAGUCAAUCAAUCAUACAAAUACUCCAAAAUUGGUCUGGGUGGGGGAUAUUAUGUCAAUUAAUGUUGAUAAUAUCAUUGUUCAUAAUUCUUUUUCUUCUUUUAUAAAAGGAGGGGUACUUAUUAUUAUUAUUAUUAUAAUAUAAAAAAGAAGCCAUAAACUAUAGCAAAUUAAAAUUGACAGUUUUUUCCUAUCAUGAAUUAUUCACAAUUCAAAACUAUAUUAUUGUUAUGUUUUUUUUUCUUUUUAUUGCUUUCCUCAAGCAAAAGGGAAUCAUCGUUGGAAGAAGUAUCCUGUUUUAAUAUAUAUGUAGACAUUGAAAUUUUGUAAGAGUCUACAAGAUGCGUUCAAUUCGAGUUGGGACUCUACAAAUUGUGUUCAACUCAGAUAAGGAUUCUUGGAGGCUUCUCAACCCUAAACCCCUAGUUUAUGCCUAAGGGUACUAAAUUCCGUUUAUGCCUAAGGGUACUAAAUUCCGUUAAAAGGCAUCUCGAAAAAUCCACAAAGAGAUCAAGAUAUCCACAAAGAGAUCAAGAUCUCGAAUACUCCACAAAUUGAUGGAUUAUUCAUAUAAAGAGAUCAAAUCUAAAUCAUCCUAGUUCAAGAAAUACACCACUAACGGCCAAUCAAGGGAGGAACAAAUUUAUAUUCACAAUCUUGAUGAAUAAAAUCACGUUUCUUCGAUUGUUUGCAUCAUGAUUGUGAGUACAAAUUUGUUCCUCCCUUGAUUCUACUCUCUAAUAUGAUUUAUCCAUGAUUCACGUUUCUUCGAUUGUUUGCAUCAUGAUUGUGAGUACAAAUCUGUUCUUCCCUUGAUUCUACUCUCUAAUAUGAUUUAUCCAUGAUUCGAGGGCCGUUAGUGGUGUAUUUCUCGAACUAGGAUGAUUUAGAUUUGAUCUCUUUAUAUGAAUAAUCCAUUGGAGUAUUCGAAAUCUUGAUCUCUUUGUGGAUUUUUCGAGAUGCCUUUUUAACGGAAUUUAGUACCCUUUAUAUAGGCAUAAACUAUGGGUUUAGGGUUGAGUAGCCUCCAAGAAUCCUUAUCUGAGUUGAACACAAUUUGUAGACUCCCAACUCGAAUUGAACGCAUCUUGUAGAGUCUUACAAAAUUUCAAUGUCUACAAUAUAAUGGCCUUCCAUUUGACUCUCUUAAAUUAUUCACUAUUAUUCUGCAGAUGACGAUUUAGAAUUUCAUUAACUUUUUGCUUAUUAAAAUUUCACUUGGAGAUUUAAAUUUAAUCAAUGGCUUUAGAUUAGGACAGUGUUUACUUAUCAUUUUUGGUGGGGUAAGAAAAAUAAAGCUUUUAUUGUAUUCAAUGAUUACGAUCAUUGCAUUUUGUAUUCGCCCUAGUGCUACAACAAAUUAUUGUCAAUGGACUAUACAAGAGGAUGGUAAUAUAUCGAAUGGUCGGAUAAAAAUUUAUGAUAUUGUAUUCUUUUAAUUGAAAUUUAUCUUUUAAAAAUAAUAAUAUUUUUCUUUUUUAAAUCGCUUAUUUUUAAGCUUAUUGAAUUGUUAACGUAUAAAAAAUAAAUUUAUAAUUUUAUGGUGUACCUUUGCCUUAACGAUCACUAGAACAUUAUAAAACCUGUUCUUUUAUUACCUUUUCCCUUUCCGUUAUUCAAGCUAAAAGUUUCAAAAAGAAAAUAAUUGAAUCUGAAAGUUUUGAUGAUAUAAUUGAUCACAAUAAUAGCAUAAAUAAACACAUCUAUUAAUAAUGGAUAAUACGAUUGAACUAUUUCUAAGAAUUUAAUAACAUAUUUGAUUUUUUUUCUUUUGAAAUCGUAUUUAUUAAAAUGUUUGUUCAAGUUUGAAAAGAAAUAAACAUGCUAACCAAUUGUAUGGAGCAGCCAUUUUUUAGACUUUUUUUUUUAAAGAAAUAUCAUUUCUAAUUGUAUUUCAAUAUUAUAAAAUAAAAUUAAACGUGAAAUUAAAGUAUAAAAUAUCGUAAAUUGUAUGGCGUAACCAUUUUUUAGAUUAUUUUUCCAGUAGCCAACAUUAAAAAAAUUCACCAAGGUACAUUAUUGGCUGACUAAUCAUUGUUUAAUCCUUUUUUUUAAAUAUUAUUUUUUUCAAUAACUUGAUAAAUCACAAGAGAAGAAAAAUAGUUCGUAUGUCCUCGUAAAGUUGGUAACAUUUUUGUUAUAUAUCUAAACAAAAAAUAUACCCCACUAGAGAAAGGGGGUUGGGGUUUGUUGAGGUCAAUAUGGUCAAUUCAUGUUUCCACCAACAAUUUUGGCCUAUAUAGUGGGGAAAAUAUGGUUAUUUUAAAAUGUAUAUAUAAGGUCAAAAGUUGAUGUACAUAAAUUAAAAAUGGAUAUUGUAGCUAUACCAAACACCUUACCAACACAAAAAUUUUACUUAUUCCUAAAGUUUUGAGCAAUGCAAUAUUCCAUUUCUUUGACUUCAUACACAUAAGGUUUCACCGAUAAUAAAAAGUUUCGAGUUUAAGUAAAUUUAAAUAAGUCGAAUUUUAUAUUGAAUGAGAGAAAAAGAGUUUCAAUUUAUUAAGUGGUUAUAUUCGUCUAAGGGAAUUAGAGAAAUGAGAUGAAAAAAAUUAUCCUUUUCACAAUCCCACUUAAUUUUAUUUUUUUUUUGAUCGAAACUUACCAACUCAGCUGAUUUGAAUUCAUUAUGUAAGUAGUCUGCAAUAUGAGGUGUUAAUGUUUACUACUAAGAACAAUUUCAUUAUUAAAAUUCAAACUCCAACUUUUAAGAGCUUACUUACAACUUUAGUCAUGGUGAGUAAAUUAUUAUUUUAAUUCUCAUAUUAAAAAUUAAAUGUAAAAAUAUCUUAUAUCUAGUCUUACUCUUAUAGACGUGCAGACCAAGUCGAGACCUUAUUUGUCAAUUAUUGUGUGCAUAAUAAACUGUUAAGUCCACUAUAUAAGCAAAAUUAGUGGACCAUUUUCUUAAUUUUUUAUUUGAAAAUCAAACUUUAAGAUGUUCUAAUUUAGAUUUUCAUGAAGAUUAAUAAUAUAAUUUUUAAUAAGGUGAUAUGUAUACCAACUUUAUUUUAAUAUUUUAUAUUGGCAGAAAAAUGAUUUAAAACACAAAAUCUGAAUUUCGUAAUACACAAAUUAUUAUUAAUAAAAUUGGUCAAUCUACAUAUACCUUUCAAAUUGGAACAUUUUGUAAUGAUAGCGUCACCAUAUCCUUGUAAGAGUAGGUAAGAUUUGAAAGGUUUGCCUAUGGUGUUUGUUGAUGUCAAUUUGGUCAACCUAUGUGGUUAGAUAAAAUUUUGAGUUCAAAUUUUAUUGACGAUGAAAAGUUUUUAAUAGCAAAUAUUUUUUUUUUGGAUAAAAUAUCGAAAUAAUCAACCAAAUAGAUUUUAUAUAUAGUAUGAUUAACCCUAAACAACAAAUUAUUCUUCAAAUAUUUGACAUUACUUCUUGGUCCCCCAAUGAAUAGCAAUUAAUUAGGUGUAUGAAAAUGUUGUUUCCCCCCUCCUGCCCCCCCCCCCCCUUUUUUUUUGUAUAUAUGUCAAAAUCACUCACCAUUCAAUAUGUUAUGUACUUUUUUUUUUUAAAAAAAAUUGAGUUCAUCUUUGGUUUAAUUUAAGCUCUAUUGAUUAUUGUUGAUUUUUAUUUCAUUAUUUUGUUACUACUGUUUAAUUCUUCAAAGAUAUGAAUAUGAUUUGAAUAUUUUAGAAUAGAUAUUCGUUAAUAAUAAAGUUAUAUUUUUAAAAUUAAGCAGAGCAAGAGGAUUAUAUUUUCGAAAGACAUUAAAAAAUUAGGAUCGAUAAGUAAAUUAUAAAGCUAGAAUAGAAGAAAUUGAUAAAUCCAACAAUUUCUUUAUUAUUAUAUAUAUAUAUAUAUAUAUAUAUAUAUAUAUAUAUAUAUAUAUAUAUAUAUAUAUAGUUUCUAUUAAAUUUCUUCAUGCUCCAGGCUUAAGAAAAGAAAUAAAUAAAGGAUGGGGUGGGUUGGUGUUCUUUUAUAUAAUAAUAAUAAUAAUAAUAAUACUCUAUUCUCCAACUUUUUUGUUCUCUAUUCCCUUUAAUUAUUUUGCUUCGAAUUAGUGGGACAUUAUGCAUAUAAUAUAGUACUAGCAUAAUUAAAAAAAAUAUUAAAAAAAUGUUUAUAUUGGGUGAUGAAAGGACAUAGAGAUUUGCGACGAAACGAAAUCGUUACCCUUUGUACAAUCCGUUCUUCUUUUCUAUAUAUAUAUAUUUAUAUUUAAAAUUAUGUUUUUUUAAUUUUGUUUAGUGAUUUUAUUUAUAAGUAUGUGAAUAUCUAUUAAUUUUUACAUAUAAAUAUGAUUUGAACCUAUAUUACCGUAGAUGAAUUUAGAGUAUAUAGUAGAUAGUGUUGGACUAAUAAGAUUUUUAUGGUGACUAUUUAAUAGUAUACGAUUUUUUUAAAAAUCUUCUACUUUUUUAUUAAAAAAAAAUUAAUUAUCACUUAACCUUUUAAAUUACAAAUAAUUUACGGCAUUAUUUUUUAUUAACAUAAAAAAAUUAAUAGAACUCCUAUUUUCUAAUUUGUAUGGCGGUGUGAGAGUGAGAGCACCGACGAGAUGGCCGUUACAUUGAGAUUUACAAAGUGUGGGUCCAAUAAUACCUGUCGGCCAACAUCUAUUAUUUAUUAAUCUUUACGUUUUAAAAAGAAUUAUAUAAUUUAAUUUAUAAAGAAGUUAAUUUUUUUUUUAAUUUUAUAAUUCUAAAUUAGAGUUACAUCAAAUAUAUUAAAUGUCAUUUAAUAUUAUAAUCUUAAAUAUGUCGCAUGAAAAAUUAAAGUUAAAGUGCUGACCAAAAAAAGAAAAGGAUCGUUCUUUUUGAAUUAUACUAAAAAAAAAUUAGGAUAUUUUUUUAAAUGAAAGAAGUAACUUUUUUGUAUCAGAGCCUAAUAAAUUUAUAUUCGUAUCGUUUUUAAAUUUUAUUCAAGAAAGAAUGCAUUGUAUCAAAAAGAAAAUUUUAAUACGCUUAAAUUUAAAAUCUCUUAUUGAAGACGGAACAACUUAAUCACGACAUUUGGCCAAACCUAAUUGAUUUUUUUCUUCCUAUUUUUUGAUAAACUGAAUAAUACUCUCCAUAAUAAUAAUAAAAACUAGCGUUUUUAGACUUUAUUAUAAUUUCAAAAUUUCUUUAUUUUAGUUAGUUAGAGACACAAGCUGCUGCAUCAAAAGAAAAACAAAACUCUUCAAUUUACAUCUUACAAGGACUGCAUUUUUUUACUGCUUCAAAAAGAAUUUUUUUUAUAUUAAUAUUUUAAUUUCAAUUUUCAUCAUGUAUAAGACUAUAAAAUUAAAUUAUAAAUUUAUAUAUUUAACAGAAUUUUAGUUUAAAAUUACAAAUUUUAAAAAUCUAUUUUAUUUUCUUAAACUUCAUAUGAAAUUAAAUUUAAUCAUUCUAUUUAAGCGAAGAAAAUAAUUAUUGUUCAAAUAAUUUGACAAAACUAAUACAGGUAUGACAAAAUAAUGAAAUAAUGCCAGUUUAGUGUCUGUGCUCGACUAUAGAUUGAUUUACUAUCUUUAGUCGUGUCUUUGAGAUGCAUCCACAAGAGAAGUUAAAGUAGGUUUUGAUAAGUGGCGGAUCUAAAAAUUUUAAUAAGAAAAUUUGAUAUGUGAAGAAUUAAAUAUAUGAAAUAAUUAAAUAGGUUUAACAUUUAUAAUAUAUUUUUAUAUGAUUAGAAUAAUUUAGAUAUAUAUAGGAAAUGUGAUCUCCUUCACCUAUUUUGUAGAUCUAAUUUUUUUAGAUUUUAAAUCCCUUAUCGAAACUUUUGGCUUCACCUUUACAUAAAAUAUAAUUUAAUCAUGUAUACAUAGUAAAAAAAAUUCGUCGAAGCGGUUCGGAUGAAUCUCCUAUCAGAGGGCUAGCUCCGCCCCUGAUUUUGAUAAUCCUAAAAUAAGGUAAAAGUACAGAAAUCUCAUAUAUUUAGGUUAUAUUUUAUCAAAAAUUUCUCAUUUAUAAAAAUUAAAAUUUGUAUUGUCCUUAAAUAUAUAUUUUUAUUAUCUGAUAUAUUACUUAAUAGAAAAAAUAUAUAUGGGAGUGGAUGAAUGGAGAGCCCCGAGUAGUUUAUUGGACAAAUCAAAUUAACGUGUGAUAAUACUUUUCAGCAUCAAAAGUUUUCUUCUAUCACGAGAGAAAAUGAAUAUAUAUUCGAGAGAGGACCAGGAUUUAAUCUAAACUAAAACAUGUAAAAAAAUAUUUAAUAAAAAUUACUAAUAAACUUUAUCAGAUCUACCAAAACCAAUAAAUUCCCUUAUAAAAAUUAGAGAUCUGAAACAAAUCUUGACCGUCCAUUUCCACAAUCAAACCUAUUUAUACCACUCAUUUCCGCCCUAAAUUUCUUGCCACAAUUCUUCUUCUUCCCUGAAAAACCCCAAAGGAAGAAGAGAAAAGCCUCUCAGAUCUCAUCUUAAACCCUUUCUUUUCUCUUAUACUCGCCUUACCCAUGGCUCUACUCGUUGAGAAGACCACCUCUGGCCGCGAGUACAAGGUGAAGGACAUGUCUCAGGCUGACUUCGGCAGGCUCGAAAUCGAGCUUGCUGAAGUUGAAAUGCCUGGUCUCAUGGCUUCACGUGCUGAAUUUGGCCCUUCACAGCCCUUUAAAGGUGCAAAGAUCACUGGAUCUCUGCAUAUGACUAUCCAAACUGCUGUCCUUAUUGAAACCCUAACUGCUUUGGGUGCUGAAGUUAGAUGGUGUUCUUGCAACAUCUUCUCAACUCAGGACCAUGCUGCAGCAGCCAUUGCACGUGACAGUGCUGCUGUCUUUGCCUGGAAAGGUGAGACUUUGCAGGAGUACUGGUGGUGUACUGAGAGGGCACUUGACUGGGGUCCAGGUGGUGGUCCUGAUCUGAUUGUUGAUGAUGGAGGUGAUGCUACUCUGUUGAUUCAUGAGGGAGUUAAGGCUGAAGAGGAGUUUGCUAAGAAUGGAACAGUCCCAGAUCCCACUUCUACUGACAAUGUUGAGUUUCAACUUGUGCUUACUAUUAUUAAGGAGAGCUUAAAGACUGAUCCAUUAAGGUACACUAAGAUGAAGGAGAGACUUGUUGGUGUUUCUGAGGAAACUACCACUGGUGUUAAGAGGCUUUACCAAAUGCAGGCUAAUGGAUCUUUGCUUUUUCCUGCUAUCAAUGUUAAUGACUCUGUUACCAAGAGCAAGGUAUAUUAUAUGUGCUUUCUAACUUAUUGUUUUGAUUCUUAUGCUUCAGAUCUAUGUGAAUUGGUUGUGUGUAGUGUUCAUGUGCUAGUUAUACAUAUAGAUCUGUUAUGAAAUGAUUGAUAAUUGCUUGGAUCUGAUACAGAGGAACUAUACUGUUAACUUAAUGUUGAUUGAUUUGUACUUAUUGUACAAGUGCAAUGUAUAUUUGAGUUGAAUCUUAUUAAUGAAUCAUGAAUCUUCUACUGUUUUGGUAAUGUUUGAGGAAUAAAUGCUAUUGCCUUUUGAAAAGCUAAAAGUUUUCAUCUUUUCUAAUUGGAGUGCGUGGUUAUAUAGUCACUGAUUAGAAAAUUUUGUAAGAUAUUUAUGUGAUGAUGCAUAUUUCACUAGAUCCGUAUUGUUAAGCAUAGAAAAGAUGGUUUCUAAAAUGUCUGAUCUUGUUACAUGAAGAAAUGGUACUUAUUUAACCUCAUAAGUUCAUGACUUUAUUGUAUUGAUUGUUUGCUUAAAGUGGAAGAAUGGUGAAGUGUAUAGUUUUUCACUUGAUUAGUUGAAGAAUGACAACUUGAUUAGCUUAGAUAGGUUUACUUAUAGCUCCAUUUGGAAAAGCUAUUUACAGUAGAUGCAUAAAGUAGUAGAUCUUGAUUAUUAUAUUUAUACCAGGGUCAUGUUUGUUAUUAAGCUCAUUGAUUGACAAUUGUAUUGAUCUGUUUGGUUUGCAGUUUGACAACUUGUAUGGAUGCCGCCACUCACUUCCCGAUGGUCUCAUGAGGGCUACUGAUGUUAUGAUUGCUGGAAAGGUUGCUCUUGUUGCUGGUUAUGGAGAUGUCGGCAAGGGAUGUGCUGCUGCCAUGAAACAAGCUGGUGCCCGUGUGAUUGUGACUGAGAUUGACCCAAUCUGUGCUCUCCAGGCUACCAUGGAAGGCCUCCAGGUUCUUCCUCUUGAGGAUGUUGUUUCUGAGGUUGAUAUCUUUGUGACCACCACCGGUAACAAGGACAUCAUCAUGGUUGACCACAUGAGGAAGAUGAAGAACAAUGCCAUUGUCUGCAACAUUGGUCACUUUGACAACGAAAUCGACAUGCAUGGUCUUGAAACCUUCCCUGGUGUGAAGAGGAUCACAAUCAAGCCACAAACCGACAGAUGGGUCUUCCCAGACACCAACAGUGGCAUCAUUGUGUUGGCCGAGGGUCGUCUCAUGAACUUGGGAUGUGCCACUGGACACCCCAGUUUUGUGAUGUCUUGCUCUUUCACUAACCAAGUCAUUGCCCAACUCGAGUUGUGGAAUGAGAGGAGCAGUGGCAAAUACGAGAAGAAGGUGUACGUCUUGCCAAAGCACCUUGACGAGAAGGUUGCUGCCCUUCAUCUUGGAAAGCUCGGAGCCAAGCUUACCAAACUCACCAAGGAUCAAGCUGACUACAUUAGCGUACCUGUUGAGGGUCCUUACAAGCCUGCUCACUACAGGUACUGAGGGGAAGAGACGCUCACAGUGGAACAACGAUACGGCGGCAUGAUUGUUUUGUUUUUAAUACUUUUAUUUUGUUUAGGUAGUGUGUUUUUAUUUUUGUUGGGGGAUAUUUUGCUGGAAAGUUGACCUAAAUGUGUUUGAAUAAUAUUUGAAUUAUGGUUGGGGUGGUGUCAUAUGAUAUUGUACCAAGUUAGAUUCAUUUGCUUUCUUGUUUCUAUAAAAUUUGCUUCAAGGAAACAAAGCAUCAUGUUUUUCAUUUUCACUACAUCUUUGCUUUAUUUACUUGAUGUUAUUGCAAUUCUUCUCUUAUUUGGCUUCUGUUUAUGCAUCCAUAUGAGAGAGUUCACUUCUAAGAGGGAACAUAUGGUUGACUCCUAGUGAAGAUUUGCGUAGUCUUUGAAAUUUAUAUUUGUGACUUUCGAAAAGCAUAAUAGAGAUGAAAGGAGUAAAUUACUGUACUUUUUAAAUUAAACUUUAGGGAUGGGAACCACCUUGGGGAUUAUCACACCUCAGCACUCAAAAUAACUCCUUUUUGUGAAUAAAACUCCUUUCGUUUCACAAAGAAAUUUAAGAAUAUAAAGUAAUUUUUGAAUUUUAUGAUUCUAAAUUGGAAUUUGAUUAAAUACAAAAUUGUACUUUGAUUUACUGACCUUAAACACGUCACAAGAGGCCAUUCUUUUCGAAAUAAACUAAAAAAAAAAGUCAUUCUUUUUUAAACGGAGAGAAUAUCAAAAAAAAAGAUGUCCUUUCGUUUCACAAAGAAGUUUAAGAAUAUAAAGGAAUUUUUGAAUUUUGUAAUUCUAAAUUAGAGUUUGGUCAAAUACAAAAUUUUAUUUUGAUCUACUGACCUUAAACACGUCACAAGAGGCUAUUCUUUUCAAAAUAAACUAAAAAAAAAAUCAUUCUUUUUUAAAUGAAGGAGUAUAAAAAAAAGAUGAAAGAUUCUUAAUUUUUUUUUUCUAAUUGUACAAAUAAUUAACUACAUUGAGCAUAAAUCUCUCUUUACAUCAUUUAAAAUGAUGACACACUUGAAUUUUUUUUUUUUUUGGGAGAAUUUGAAAUUUCAGAUCAUAAAUUUGAGCCCCAUUUAGCCAAAACAAUAAUUUGUAUGUACACUUCUUCUAACUAUUUUGUGCAAUCUAAAAGGACCUCAAAUUUGAGAUAUUUGGGUGAAAAAGUUGAAUGCUUGUUGGAAAAGAAAUAGCUUUUUUAAAGGGAGAACAAAACAAAAUUUGCUUGUAAAAAAAUAAAGUAAUUAUAAACUUAUUUGCCUAAAAUUAAAUGAUCUUUCACCAACCACCACCACCAAAUUUUCUUUGUUUUUUUCAACUUCAUUUCACCUAAUGCUAUCCAAUUAGAUAAGAUAGUCUAAUUAACCAUGGUUUAAUAAAAGAAACAUCAUGCAUCUAUUAAUUAUGGUUUGAGUUCGAGUUCUAAUAUAUAUGUAAAAACUUGAUAGAAAAGAAAAUCCUUCUGUUUUGAAUGAAUAUUAUGUAAUGGAAAAUCGAAUUAAUUGAACUCUAAAUAUCAACAAAUAUAUAGGGAAAUUUUAUAAGUGAGGUUUGUGAGAAUAGAGUAUAUGCAAAUUUUAUUAUUAUCAUAUGGAGGUAGAUACACUAUUUUCAAAAGACCGUCGACUCUAAUACAACUAUUUAAAUAUAACGAGAAAAUUAUGAUACGCCACAAAAAAUAGUAUCAAGUCUACUAAAAAGGAGCAACAACAAUAAUAAAAGAUGCAUCAAUUGAAACGUAAUAAAUAAUAAAUAUACUAAGAUAGAUUAUUAAAAACGAUGAUGUAGUAAAGUUUGAAACUAAUUUUAUUCUUUGUAAGGAAAAAUUGUAGUACUUUCUCCGUUUCACAAAGAAUGAUCUAAUUUGACUUAACACGAAGUUUAAGAAAAUAAAGAAGACUUUUGAUCAUGUGAUCUCAAAUUAAAGUUAUGUCAAAUGUAUAAAAUUACACUUUAAUAUUGUGGCCUUAUAUAUGUUAUCUAGAAAAUUAUUACCAAAAAAAAGAAAAAUAUAAUUUUUUUGAAACACUGAAUCAGAAAAAAAAUAAAAUUGUAGUCACUAUUGUGAGUCACUUUAAUUAAAGACAACAUGGUCCUUUUGCCGCACCGCAAUUUGGAAAUUAAGAUGUGCACUUAUAGUAGCUAAUUCAAUUUUAUUGGGUUCAUGUGGGAGACGUUAAAAUAAUCGUAUUGUUGAAUAUUUUAUCUUUUUUACUUUUAAUUUAAUAGAGUGUUUUUAUAACAUGGUAAAAAAUAUCGCUUAAUAAAUCACACAUUUGAAAACAUGAACAAUAGCCUGACACAAGUAAACAUGCAAAGGUUUCGACAUGUAAAAGGGGAGUUCUUGUGAGCAUAGUUCAUAUUCAUUUAUCUCUAAAAUGUAUAAGGUGGAGGCUCAACGUAUAAUUUUUGAGACUCAUUUUAGCUGUGCUCAAACAUUAUUCAUUAUUUUCUCGAGGACAAUUUUUCUUAAUUAUACCUAUACUGAUUGCCACGAAUAUUAACAUUUUUUUUUCAAGGUAAUGUUUGAUUUCCUGAAAUAUGUUACAUUUGAGAGAAAAAAGAGAUUAAUCAUUGCAUUCAUCCAUAAAAUACAAUGUUAUAAUUUGGUUCAUGAACUAUCAUUGGUAUCUUGAUCACAAAUAUAUCUUUCCAUUAAUGUACAAAUUUUACACAAAAAAUACAAUAAAAACCUUCAGAGCUUUAUGGAUCAAUUGCUAAAUGUAAGACAAAUUCAAACAAAUCGUAUUUAGAAUGAAUAGGUUAAAAAUAUUUGAACUAUUAUACUUUCACGAGUUACAUGUAUCUAAUAGCCGUAUGUUCCUUUUAUAUCACCAAACAAUAAUUUCGUGUAUAUUAAAAAACCCACCAUCACAUAACUACAUGUGUGUCUAUUACACACCCAAUUUACCUAAAAACAAUGCCAACUAACGAGGGGGUUUUAUUAUAGAGAGAAUUAUUAUUCCAAGCGUUAAUAUAUUGAGAUCUCUUUCACUCUUAAUCAAAUAAAAUUCGAAAUCAAAAAAUGAAAAAUGCAAGGGAGUAUUAAUUACAAGAAAAUAUGCUACUACAUCAUCCUUUCUCAUUCGUGUCUGAUAUUCAUAUUGAAGUCUAACUAAUUCAGGUUCACAUCACAUAAAAUCUCGUUCAUAAAAAAAUAUUCAAAUAUAAAUGAGAUUUGAUUAAGCAAAAUGACUAAUCUUUUUCUACCCCAUCAUCGCUACCAACCAACCAACUCCUAGAAAUAAAUUUAAAAACAUCACCUUAAUGAAAAAAUAAACUAAGCACUUCCAAUUUUGAAAAGAAAAUACAUUCAUCCAAUCAAAAUUUUAGAUAUUUUUUAUUUAUCAAAUUUGUAGGUCUACCAAACCUCAAUUUAAUCCAAUCAACUAUUCAGAUCUGAAACAAAUCUUGACCGUCCAUUUCCAUCAGAGAAGCCUAUUUAUACCAAUCACUUCCUUCCCUUAUUUCUUGCAACACUCUUCUUCUUCCUUAAAACCCAAAGGAAGAAAAGAAAAUCGCCUCUUUCUGUCAAUUUCAUCUCAAAAUCUCCCAUUUUCUCUCAGUUUUUCUCUUAUACUCGCCUUACCCAUGGCUCUACUCGUUGAGAAGACCACCUCUGGCCGCGAGUACAAGGUGAAGGACAUGUCCCAGGCUGACUUCGGCAGGCUCGAAAUCGAGCUUGCCGAAGUUGAAAUGCCUGGUCUCAUGGCUUCCCGUGCUGAAUUUGGCCCUUCACAGCCCUUUAAAGGUGCAAAGAUCACUGGAUCUCUGCAUAUGACUAUCCAAACUGCUGUUCUUAUUGAAACCCUAACUGCUUUGGGUGCUGAAGUUAGAUGGUGUUCUUGCAACAUCUUCUCAACUCAGGACCAUGCUGCAGCAGCCAUUGCACGUGACAGUGCUGCUGUUUUUGCCUGGAAAGGUGAGACUUUGCAGGAGUACUGGUGGUGUACUGAGAGGGCACUUGAUUGGGGUCCAGGUGGUGGUCCUGAUCUGAUUGUUGAUGAUGGAGGUGAUGCUACUCUGUUGAUUCAUGAGGGUGUUAAGGCUGAAGAGGAGUUUGCUAAGAAUGGAACAAUCCCAGAUCCUAGUUCUACUGAUAAUGUUGAGUUUCAACUUGUGCUUACUAUUAUUAAGGAGAGUUUAAAGACUGAUCCUUUAAAAUACACUAAGAUGAAGGAGAGACUUGUUGGUGUUUCUGAGGAAACUACCACUGGUGUUAAGAGGCUUUACCAAAUGCAGGCUAAUGGAACUUUGCUUUUCCCUGCUAUUAAUGUUAAUGACUCUGUUACCAAGAGCAAGGUAUGU
rnacentral:lncRNA from 1 species